GUAUGGAGAGUGGGACUAACCUUGGAAGCAAAGGUCCCCUGAGGCCAGUUGAGCAACCCGGCAACCAUUUGCCCUGUUUGAUUGCAAUCGUCAUCAAUGGCCUAGAAAACCCAUGCCCACAUCAGAAAACAACAAUCCACCAUAAAAAGAGUCUAGGAUUUUCACGGAAUCCGCAAAUUUAUUUUUAAAUCGUUACCAAAAACCCUAAUCUCUGGGCACGAAUUCACAGACCUGUUUGCCCAGAAUAAGGAGGCCAGGCUUCUCCACAUCGACGAGAGCUUUGAGAAGCUUAGCAACUGAAAGUGGGUACAGAGUGGCGGAAGCUUCGACGUGGAUGGCCCUAUCGGCGCCCAUGGCGAGACCCGUUCUGAGCGUGUCGACGCACUGGCUGGGACCCACACUGACAGCGAUAACCUCCGACGCCAGACCCGAUUCCUUGAUCCUCAGAGCCUCUUCCAAACCUAUCUCACAAAAGGGGUUCAUCGACAUCUUGACGUUGCUGGUCUCCACGCCGCUCUGAUCGUGGGUUGGCGAUUGUUAUUGGAUGAUGAUGAAAUUACAGAUACUGAAUAACUUGAGAGUUUGGAUUUGGGUUACCUUGUCGGAUUUGACUCUGAUCUUGACAGCGUAGUCCACAACACGCUUUAUCGCCACCAUUAUCUUCAUCUCGUAUAUGGGUGGUUAUCUUCUCCGGCACAAGGGUAUUGGCAAAUGACUGAUGAUGAAGGACGAGGAUAUUCGCCCGAGCCCUACUGCACGACACCACAUCCGCUUAUAAAAUCUUUUGAUACGGAUAAGUACAAGGGAAGUGGAAAAAAAGGAUUAUUAAGAAAAAUAAAUAUAUUACCAAAAAAAUUAUUUAAAAUUUUGUUCAUGUAGAAAGAACCCGUGAAUCAGAUCGAAAAAAUUAUAUUAAAACUGCUGUAUAGCCGAAAAUUGUGUACAGAAUUUAUUUUAACAUUGUAUUAUUGAAUUUUUUAUUCAAAAAUUGCUUAACGUGAGAUAGAAAUUAAAAAAUCAUUAGUAAUUUUGUCCGAAAGUUGUUAUAUUUCAUGUGUUUUAAAAAUAGAUGUAAUUUAUUCCUAUUUGCAUUUUUAACGUACAUUUAAUUAAAUAACCCAAAAAGUUAUUGAGUUCACAUCAUCUAUGGAGUCUACCUCUCUUUGCUUUUGUUGCUUCCAAAAAUACCAUACUCCCAUAUUUUUUUGGUUCUACUCAUUUUACUUUAUUUUUUUCAUUCCAUUCAUUCCACGUGAAGUCUUCAAUCCUAAUAACAUUUACUAUAUUACAAUUAAGUUUAAUUUUUAAAAAACUUAAUUAGGGUUAAAUUUCCUUUGAGAGAACUUCAUUACAAUUAUUUGAGUUGUACGUUAAGUUUCAUUUAAAAAUAACUUAUUUAAAAAGAUGUUAAGCUUCCCCUAUUUUAUUUAUAAAGUUUAAUAUCUAUUUGAUUUUAUAUUUGAAAUCCAACUAAAACCUAAUAACGAAUUGUUGUAAAAAAACUCCAAUCAAAAUACUAACAAAAAUUAAAACAUAAAACUCUGAUAAAAAAUUGUUAAAAAAUCCAACAAAAAAACAAUCAUAAAAAACCCUAAUCAAAAACAUCAUGGAAGUUUAAAUGAAAUUGCCAAAAAAUAAAAAGUAUAGAAAACCCUAACAAAAAAACAACACCAAAACACCUGACAAAAAACAAUUACAAAUUCUAGCACAAAAACCCCCAAUUAAAAAUAUCUAUAAAGAAAAACCUAAAAAAAACCAAUUAUAAAACCUCCAACAAAAAAUAAAGAGAAAGAUGAAGAAUAUGAAAAAUUUUGAAGAAGAAAGAAACAUGAGAGAACUAUCAUUGAUCUUUAUUUGUUAAUCUUUGUUAUAUGUUUGAACUUCACUAGAAAAUGAGAGAGAGAGCAUAAACCUAAAGAGAGAAAGAGCUGAAAAUGAGAGGAGAAAUGAAUCACAAUGAGGGGAAUGACAAUUUGAGGAAAUAUAGAAGGGUUAAAUCAUUUGAACUAGGUUAACGUUUUUAUUAAAAAAAAAGAGUAAUGAAGGUCCUUGUUCUAAUUUCAAGAGUAUGUCUGUUAAUUACCAAAUGUGGCAACUCUAAAUAAAAUCCUUUGUUAUCAACUAAAACUAAAAGUCCCAUUACAUCAUAUCCAACUUUCAUUUGUUAUCAACAAAGUAAAACUAUAUACAACUAUUAUCACCAUCUCUCCUAUUUUGAUGUUAUUUUCUUAGAUGAAUUUGUAAAUCAAAAUUUACACCACCCAUAAAUUUUUUGAGCUUCCUAUUUAACACAACUUCAAUUUGUUAUACUUUGAACAUCACAAAGAUAAAGUAAUCAACAUUUUGCUUGGACAAGUUUUUCUUCUCUAAAGUUUAGAGUCCUAUUUCACUUCCCGUUUAUGGGUUGUUAGUUCAUCUAAUAUCUCACCAUCAUCCAUUCCAUGUACUGUGUUUCCGAAAUGAGUUGAUUCCACAUCCUAAAUGUCUGUGCAAAUUAAUAAGGAAUGUCGAGUUACCAAUUUUCUUAAAAGCUUAAUCUUGCAAGAUUUGGAUUCAAAAUGCAUAUCAUGCUCUCUUUAACACCCCUCCCCCCUCUCACAUGUAGCCCUAUACCCACACGUAGAGAAAUAGACUUAUAGGAAAAUUGGUAGUUUAAUAUAGUAUCAGCACUUGGUUUGGUGGGAGGUCUCCUGUUUGAGUCACCUCUCCACAAUUUACAUUUCUCCUAUUUGUUUAAUUUACAGUUCUUCCCUUAAUCUGUAAUUCUUUGGAUAUAAAUUUUCCCCCUAAUUUGUAGUUUUGUGGAUAUGAAUCUCUCUUCCAUGUUCAGGUAUGGGGCCACACAUAAGAGAGGGUGUUAAAGAGCAUGAUAUGCAUAUUAAACCCAAAUCCUAUAAGUUAAAACUUUUAGGAAAAUUGGUAGUUUAACGCUUUUAGGAAAAUUGGUAGUUCAACAUGUGUACACCCCAUUUUGGGGACUGCUAUUGCUCCCACUUCUUUUUGUCAAAUGGUGGAGCUUUUUAGGAGCACAUGUUGUAUUUGGAAAGGCUAUUAGAAAAUGGCAACAUGACUGUUAAUGGAAGUAAUGAUUUUCUAAAAAGGCAACCAUGGGAAGACACAUAACAAAGAUGUUUGGGGAGGAGGGAGAGUGUGCAUCAAGACUACUCAUGAGGGGUAAGAAACAAAAAAAAAAAAGUGUCGAAGAUAACUAAAAAAUUGGAGAAACAUAAAGGAAUAAGGAUUUUAGGGCUAUGGAUGGUGAACAAGAGUGAAUUAUGGGUGUCUAGGACAGCUAGGAAUGGUGAGAGGAGUAGGGAGCUGUAGAAGGUGAUGAGCUAGGUAAGAUGUAUUUUCGAGAAAGAAAAGAACCAAAGAAAGAAGGUGGUGAAUUAAGUGAGACACGUCUCAGAGAAGCAGAGAAAGUUGGCUUGAAGCCAAGCAAACUUUUGCUUGAGAUGAGCAUUGCCUAGUAAGAUUGUUUCGAUUCAUCGAUUAUUACUGAUCAUCAUACUUCUCUUGUCUUAUAUUCAUGUGAUUAUUUUACAUUGAUUGUGGGGUUGCUUUGGUUUGGUUAUUAUGGCUUCAUCCUCUAUUUCUUUAGUUUUAUUCAAGGAUAAAUCUAAUUGUGCUUUGAUUAGUUAUUCCAUAUUUGAAAAUCUUUGUGUAUUUUGGGUUUUUUCUCUUUAGAUAUUUUCUAGAUUAAUCCACUGACCUUUAAACCCACAAAUAAAGAAAAAUGAAAUGAGUUUUUUCAUAUUUGUUGGGUGUUUGGCCCUUGUUUAUCUUUUUUUAAAGCUUUAUUCCUUUAUAUUCUCUAUUUCUCCCCAUUUUGUACAUGGGUGUUUCAAUCAGAGUCUCUAUUUUGGCUUCCACAUUUGAGAUUUCUUUUAUGAGCGAAGACCCAAAAAUGGAGACUGGCUUCUUGUAAUUGAUAAAAUAGUUAGUCACCCAUUAGCUUAGAUGAAGCAUAGAUGUUAACCGGAUUGUGAACAUGGAUACUCUAUUUUGGGCCUAUUAGGCCUUCCAAUCCUCUCUUAGUUUCAUUAUUCUUGAGGAUAGUGUUUGGUUGUGUCUGCUACUUAUUCUGUGGCUUCGGUGGUCUGUUUGUUUAUUCUUGGCUAUUAUCAAUGCUAACAAUGGGAAAGAGACUGGUUUUGGUUAUGCUCUUACGGAUUUGAAGGUGAUCAAAGGGUCCAGUGAAGAGAAGAUUAGUAGGUCAUAUUAGGUUAAUUAAUUAAUUAGGACAUGUUUUGAGUUAUAUUAAGUAAUACAAGCUCUUAGUGGGCUUAAGUAACUUAAGCCUAGUGGGGAAUGCCAUAAAUACCCCUUAGGGGUUAGCAUUUCCAUAGGUUUUUCUAGAGAGUCAUCUUUCACCUCCAAAGAAGGAGAGUCAUAGCCUUUACCAUUUUUUCCAUCAUUAUCGAAGUGUGUCAAGAUUAAGGUUUAAGUCAUUGAGCGGAAGACUCCAGGUUUAUGAGACUUCAUACAACUUCGUUUUUCAUUUUCAUCAAAUGGAAUUAAUUUGAAAACAUUUGAAUCUGAAGUAUGGUUUUUGUUAGCAUAUUUCGAAUCCCUUUAAAGUUUAAAAAUGCAAAUUUUCCACUAUGUAUAGGAUUUAAAAUCGCUUAAGAUAGUUAAACAUGUUCCCCACUUGAUCUGAAUUGGGAAACGGAGAAAUCUGAUAUUUUCCCAUCACAAGGUAGGAUAAGAACUUGUGAUUGAUCUUUAUGGAUUGGACUAAUUAAUUAAUUGGAACCUAAUUAGGCUAAUUAAUUAAUUAAGACCUAAGCAAACUAGUUUAAGUUACACAAGCCUAGGAUGGACUUAAGUGACUUAAGCCCAUGGGAAGCUUAUAUAAACUCCUUUAGGGGUUAGGGUUUCAAACUUUUAUCAUCUAGUCUUCAAUUCCUUAAAGAGAAUAGAACUCGAGCCAACAACUCUCCUAAAGGAUUCUAUUGCUCCGUGUCAAGAUUCGAAAAAAAACUAUUUGAUGGAAGGUUGUUAUGUUUAUGAGAUUCGUUAUGUUUUUUUACACCUUUUCACUAAAUGGAAUUGAUAUAGGAAUGUUCAUAUCUCAAGUGCAACACACUUAUUCUCUUUAGAUUUAUAUUGCUUAUGGUUUUUUUUUUUUUUGUCAUGGUUUUCCGUUAAGAUUAGAUUAAGAGAGCCCUAUGUCAUAGAAUGCUUCAAAUGAGCCUCCCCGGGGGUUUGUAUAGAGCCCAUGAAGCUUCUAGAGACUCCUAUACUUAGCCAUUGGUGGGAAGAGUGUGAAAGGUUCUACAGAUGUCUAGAGAUAUUUACACAUCUCUACACUAUGGUGGAAGGCAUGAGAGGAGUCUAAGGCAUUCUAAAGAAUUAUAAAGAUCUCUUAUAUAUUCUUGUACAUAGGCUUGUACAUAGAAUUGUGUAGGAAGUUAUAGAUUAUUCUUGAGCUGUAAGGAACCCUCCAAGGUUCCAGAGAGUUCCAUUGGUGCCUAUAAAUAGGUGAAUGCCUCAUUUGGCCAAGACACUAAGCAAGUGAAUUCCAAAACACUUGUAAAGCUUCCUUUGAAUAAUAAAAGUUUCAAUUCUUCAAGAGUUGCCUAUUAUGCCUUCUAAAACUUCUAAGUCAUGAGCAUCUUAACCUAACAAGUUAAGCAUUGGGAGUAAUGCUAACUUAGCAAGAUCAAGGAUCUUGACUUGUCUAAGUGUUGCACGAUCUUAGGAAAAGAUUAAGUUUGUGACAGUUGGUUUCAAAGUGUGACUACGAAGUGAGCAUAGUAAAGGAAACAUGUCGAGCUUCAACAUGGAGGAAACUAGUGAGCAAACCCGUGGGAAAGAAACCGAGCCUACUGCAUAGGACAGGGACAUGAAGGAUAAAUCUCGUAAUGCCAUAGCCAACGUGGAGGCAAGGCUAGCCAAGGUGGAGCUAGCCAUGGCAGACACCCGGGAAGGGGUGGACUUAAUCGAGCAAGGCAUGGAAAAUGGCUUAGAGGAUCUAAAUGAGCAUAUCCAAGACCUUCAUGAGAGAGUGCUAGGCUUACAAGUUCGGCCGAUGUCAUAUGAGGAGUUCAUGUCCUUCCAAAACGAGGUCAUGAGCAUGUUUGCUAGCAUGGAGUCGAAGGUGGAGGCCUUGGCUGCACGCAUAGAGGCCCAAGACCAAGAGGUUCAACAAGAGCUAGCUAUCUACAAGACUGUCUUAUCAGCACGAGUCAUGGCCACUCAUGAGGCACUAAGGGUGGAAGUGCCCAAACCACACACGUUCAAUGGCAAGAGGGAUGCCAAGGAGUUGGACAAUUUCUUGUGGCACAUGGAGCUCUACUUUGAGGUUAUAACACUAAUAGAUGAAGCCACUAAGGUAUGUACCACAACCCUCUACCUCACCAAUAAAGCUACUCUAUGGUGGCGUCAGAGGUUUGCCAAUAUAGAAAAAGAAAUGUGCACCAUAGACACAUGGGAUGCCUUUAAGCAAAAGAUCAAAAAACAAUUAUACCUUAAUGAUGUGGCUUACCUAGCAAGGAAAAACACAAAAUGUCUUAAGCACACAGACUCGAUCCGUGAGUAUGUCAAAGAAUUCUCUACACUUAUGCUUGAGAUACCCAACAUGUCUGAGGAAAAGCUACUAUUCAACUUCAUGGACAACUUGCAAAGCUGGGCCGAGCAAGAGUUAAGGAGAAGUGGUGUCCAAGACCUAGCCACGGCCAUGGCGGUAGCGAAGUCCUUGGUGGAAUACAAAAAGGGAGACUCUUUUAAGCCCAAGCCACAGUCUAAGGGUAAUCAUGCUAAAGGUGGGGAAACAAGGGAUCAAGGAGGUACACUCCUAAGGAAUGAUCAAGCAAGACCUCUGGUGGCAAGGAUGGUAAGGGUAAGGAUAAACGGAAAUAGUUCACGCCUAAGAUCAAUUGCUUCCUAUGUGAUGGUCCACAUUGGGCGCGAGACUACCUCAAAAGAAAAGCCCUAAAUGCCAUGAUCGAGGAAAAGUAGAAGGAAGACAAUGCUCAUGUGGGAUCAUUACAACUCUUAAAUGAUAUCAAGGCUAAGUCAGUGCUUAAGACACCUCAAAGUAAAAGUCUAAUGUACAUAGAAGCCCUUGUAAAUAGGAAGGCUACCAAGGCUUUGGUGGACACUAGUGUCACUCAUAACUUUGUCUCGAAGGAUAAGACAAAGAACUUAGAGCUCCAAGCAUCUAAGGAAGGAGGUUGGCUCAAGGCAAUUAAUUAAGUUUCCAAGCCAUCACACGAAGUAGCACGCAGGGUGGCAAUGCACAUUGGCUCAUGGGAAGGAAUGGUCGACUUCACAGUGGCACCCAUGGACUACUUCAAGAUGGUACUGGGAAUGAACUUCCUAUAGAAAGACAAGGUCAUGCCACUACACUUCCUACAUUUAAUGGUUAUCCUAGAGGAUGAAAAGUCAUGCAUAGUCCUUACGGUCACCGAAGGUUCACCCAAGACCCCUAUGAUAUCGGUUAUGCAAGUAAAGAAGGGAUCAAAGAGGAAAGAGGUGACCUACCUCACCACUCUUAAGGAGGAAAAUGAUGAUGAGUUGGGGGAGCCCAUGCCUAAGGAAAUCAAGAGAGUCUUUGAUGAGUUCAAGGACGUGAUGUUGCCUAAGUUGCCUAAAAGACUCCUUCCUAGAAGAGAGAAAGAUCAUAAGAUCGAGUUAGAUGCAGGAACUAAGCCCCUUGCUAUGGGGCCAUAUAGGAUGGCACAACCCAAGCUGAAAGAGCUAAGGAAACAACUUAAGGAGUUGUUGGAUGCAGGGUUUAUCCAACCAUCCAAGACUCCCUAUGGCGCACCGAUUUUAUUUCAAAAGAACCAUGAUGGGUCCCUACAGAUGUGCAUCGAUUACCAAGCACUCAAUAAGGUAACAAUAUAGAAUAAGUACCCCAUUCCACUCAUUGUUGAUCUAUUUGAUCAACUUGGUAAAGCAAGGUAUUUCACUAAGUUGGACUUGAGAUCAGGCUACUACCAAGUGAGGAUUGUGGAAGGAGACAAACUGAAGACUACAUGUGUGACCCGAUAUGGCUCAUAUGAGUUCUUAGUGAUGCUCUUCGAUCUCACCAAUGUACCAACAAUGUUUUGGACACUCAUGAAUAAGAUCUUCCAUCCCUAUUUAGACUAGUUUGUGGUGGUAUACUAAGAUGACAUAGUCAUCUACAAUAGCAUCUUAGAGGAGCACGUGGAGCAUUUAAGGAAGGUCUUCAAGAUCUUAAGGUAAAACGAGUUAUAUGUAAAGAAGAAGAAAUGCUCAUUUGUUAAAGAGGAUGUGAGCUUCCUAGGGCAUCGCAUCAAAGAUGGCAAGCUGAUGAUGGAUGACAACAAGAUGAAGGUCAUCUAGGAAUGGGAUCCACCUACUAAGGUACCUCAACUAAAGUCUUUCCUUGGCUUGGCUAACUAUUACCAGUGGUUCAUCAAGGGUUACUCUACAAAGACAGCUUCACUCACUAAUCUUCUUAAGAAGAACAAGGCAUGGGUGUGAGACAAAAGGUGGCAACAAGCCUUUGAAGAUCUAAAAAGUGUUGUGAUUGAGGAGCCAAUGUUGGCAUUACCCAACCACAUGAAGGUUUUUAAGAUACACACAGAUGCCUCAAACUUUGCUAUUAGGGAAGUUCUGAUAAGAUAGACAUCUAAUCGCCUUCAAGAGUUGCAAGCUAAAUGACAUAGAGAGACGCUACAUGGUACAAGAAAAUGAUAUGACUGUCAUUGUCUAUUACUUGCACACCUGAAGACACUAUCUUCUAGGGUCUCACUUCAUAGUGAAAACCGACAAUGUUGUCAUUAGUUACUUCUAAACACAGAAAAGUCCUAAGUAAGCUAGGUGGCAAGACUUUCUGGUUGAGUUUGACGAUGCGCUGGAGUAUAAGACAAAAAGUACUAAUCAUGUGAAUGACGCCCUAAGCCGUAAUGUAGAGCUAGCAUUCAUGACGAGCCAGCCCCAAUGAGACAUAAUAGAUCUUCUAAGAGAGGGGUUGCAACAUGAUCUAGUGGCUAAGAGCCUUAUUACCUUGGCCCAUGAGGGAAAAACUAAGUGUUUUUAGGUAGAGGACGACCUACUCUACACUAAGGGGAGACUACUCUACGUGCUUAAGUGGGGGAACAUAAGGUAGAACUUGAUUAAGGAGUGCCAUGACACCAAGUGGGUUGGGCACCUUGGGCAACGACGCAUAAAGAGCACUACUCGAGUCAGCUUACUACUGAUCUUAGAUACAAGAUGAAGUUGAGGCAUAUGUGAGGACUUGUCUUGUGUGCUAACAAGACAAGGUAAAACAACAACAACCUAGAGGCUUGUUGGAGCCACUACCUAUAGCAGAGCGUCCAUGGGAGAGCAUCACCAUGGACUUCAUCAUCGGGCUACCUAAGUUGGAGGGCUAUGGCUCGAUCAUAGUGGUAGUGGAUAUGUUCUCUAAGUAUGUGACCUUCAUAGUAGCCUCUACUGACUGUACUGCAAAGGAGACAGCAAGGCUAUUCUUGAAACACAUGGUCAAAUACUGGGGGUCGCCUAAUUACAUCAUCAGUGAUCGCGAUUUGCAUUUCACUAGGAAGUUUUGGACAAAGCUCUUUAAGCUUAUGGGUUUGAAGCUUCACUUCUUCACAAGCUUUUCACCCGUAAACAGAUAGGCAGAUUGAGAGGGUGAACGCCUUAUUAGAGUUAUACUUAUCCUUCAUGAGUGUCAACCAAAAGGAAUGGACUAAGUUGCUAGAUGUAAUCCAAUUUUCAUACAACUUGCAAAGAAGUGAGACAACCAACAAGAGCCCGUUCAAGCUAGCCAUAGGGCAGCAACCAUUGACUCCUCACACACUACCAAUAGGCUAUACGAAGAGAAGUUCAGCGGCUUUGAAGUUCACUAAGGGGUGACACGAGCCAACUGACAUAAUAGCUCAUACUUGGAUAGGGCCGCUAGAAAGAUGAAGAAGUGGGCUGACAAAAAGCGACAUCACACUGAGUACAAGGUCGGAGACAUGGUCUUUGUCAAGCUCCUUCCUAAAAAAUUCAAGUCACUAAGGCCGGUACAUAAAGGCCUUAUGAUGAGGUAUAAAGGACAUUUCCCCAUACUUGGAAAGGUCGGCAAGGUGUCCUAUAGAGUUGAGUUACCACCGAGGUUGAAGAUUCAUAUCGUCUUCCACGUAAGUUACAUAAAAUCAUAUCACGAAGACAAGAAUUAUCCAAGCCAAGGGAUGUCCUAGAUGACACCUACAUCGAUUAUGACCUUCUAUGACAAGGAAGUAGAACACAUCAUUGCAGGCUGAGUCAUCAAGAGAUGAGGCGUGCCUCCUGCUACGGAGUACUUGGUGAAAUGGAAGGGACUACCAGAGAACGAGACUAGCUGGGAGCCAAUAGAUGCACUAUGGCAAUUUCAGGAGCACAUUAAGUGGUUCUAGGUGGAAGGUGCGACAAGGACGUUUACGGUUUAGGUAGGGGAGAGUGUCAUAGAAUGCUUCAAAUGAGCCUCCCCAGGGGUUUAUAUAGAGCCUAAGAAGCUUUUGGAGACUCCUACACUUAGUCAUUGGUGGGAAAAUGGUGGAAGGUUCUAAAGAUGUCUAAAGAUAUCCACACAUCUCUACACUAUGGUGGAAGGUAUGAGAGAAGUCCAAGGCUUUCUAGAAAAUUCUAGAGAUCUCUUGUAUAUUCUUGUACAUAGGCUUGUACAUAGAAUUGUGUAGGAAGUUUUAGAUUAUUCUUGAGUUGUAAGGAACCCUCCAAGAUUCCAAAGAGUUUCAUUGGUGCCUAUAAAUAGGUGAAGGCCUCAUUUGGCCAAGGCACCAAGCAAGUGAGUUCCAAAGCACUUGUAAAGCUUCUUUUAAGUAAUAAAAGCUUCCAUCCUUCAAGAUUUAUCUACUACGCCUUAUAAAGCUUUCAAGUUGUGAGCAUCUUAACCUAGCAAGCUGAGCAUUGGGAGCAAAACUGACUUAGCAAGAUCAAGGGUCUUGACUUGUCUAAGUGUCGCACGAGCUUAGGAAAAGACUAAGUUCAUGACACCUAGGACUAGUAGCAUGCACCCUAAGUAAUCCAAGGCUAGAAAUGAAAUGAUACAAGGAUUCCCAACACUUGACUUAAUUCCUUAGAAAUUGAAACUCAAUAAAAAACAUUAGUGUCAUUAACCUCAUUUUUUUUAUUACCAAUACUUAAUUAGGGGAAACCUUGAGCUAACAACCUCCUCAUUUUUUAUGAUGAUAAAACUGUACCAUCUAAAGAAAGCUUUCCUUAAUGUAUGCAUAUUAUAAGCAAUUUAAACAUUCAUCAUAAAAGAUGGAAAACAUAAACUCAAAUGGAGACAUGGAUAUAUAGAUAUAAGAGACAUCAUAAAGGUUGCAACAUGAUCGUAUAUCCGAAAUAGCAUCCAAAAGCAUGUCAUCCAAAAAAAAAUCAACCAUAAUAACCAUGUUCAAAUUGUCCCAAAAAGGAAAAAAAUAUAUAUAUGAAACAAAAAGUAUUAAAUAGUUUACUAAAUGUUAUGCCCUAGAUACCUAAAGAUAUCUCCCCCUUAGGCAACAUCGAAACAAUGAGGGAACUAUAUGGCUCAAGGUUGAGGUGGUGGAAACAAGGAACAUAGGACAGCUAUUGAAGAAGCUAAAAUUCUUCAUAAAUGAUUGAAUUUUAUUUCACCAUGAGAAACAAUACAAAGAGGGAUUUUUUUUUUUUUUUUUUUUUUUUUAUCAAGGGGAAGACCCCUUUCUCUUUACUACUUAUCCCUUUUAAUAAAAAUUCUUCCACAUUUUUCCACUUUAUUUUGCCAACAUUCUUUCAACCCCUUUUGCACAAAAAUGCCAAAGAUAGUAUUAGGAUAACCUUUUACAACCAUUGCUAACUUUUGACACAAGUUGCUAAAAAUUGUUGAAGAUUUGCUUUUAAUGUCAGGUAGGAUAGCAGAUUGGUUCUAAUUGAAGGUCAUUUCUUGUGGAGGACCUUACUUAUAAGUGAGAUGAUUGUUCCUAUCUUCAUGGUUUUAUGUUGUAUAGUUAUAGAGACUUUUUAGAGGCUAUCAGCUUUAGAGCAAAUUUAUGUUGUUUGUUAGGGAUUAAGUAUUUUAUUCAAAUUGGGUGAAUGGUACUACCUCUUUACUUGAGAUGGCUUUGAGAUUGGGUGGUUGAAUAGUAGUACUUUGGAAUGGUCUAGUUUUUGUUCGCUUUAGCUAUCAUUUUCUUAUGCUGUGUCUAUAGACGAGUGGAGACGUCAUUUGGAAAUUGGUCAAAUUGCCCGUGAAAUUGAUCAAAUUGUCAAGUUGUCAUCCUAAAAUUGACUAAACCUAGUUUGUAAAAAUGAGAAACGACCGUCACUAGCGACUAACAUCUUCUCAAGCUAAGUAUUAAUAGAUCCAAUCUGAGCAUAAAGGGCAUCUUAAUGUUGCAGGUUCAAUGCUCAUGAAGCAUAAUAUUUUGGAUACUUGGUGUGAGACACCUCAGCAUAAGUCUAAUCCAUAAGGAUAGUCUCCUCAGGAGGUUGAGAUGUGGGCAAUUGAAUGGUGGCAUCCAUGCCCUUGGUUUGCAUCUCCUGUUGAACAUCCUCACCCCCUAAUCCUUUAUGGUCACCCUCAGUCUCUAUCUAUAGAAUCUCUGCCUCUUACUCAACCCGGUCUUCAUUCAUAGCAGGACCCUUUCUUUUUCUUUCCAAUGAUCCAUUAGGCAAUUUCUCAAACAGCAUUCGGUCUGGAUUUUACGUUAUAGGUAUCAUAGGAUGAGGCCUGAAUGUUUUUUUCUCUUCUUAUGUCCACAUUGAAUGCUUUCAGGAUUUUUGUGAUCAGUCUUCUUCCGUUGGCCACUACUUUAGAAUUGCUUUUACAACAGUUUUUCAUGUGUUGAAAGAUGAUAAGGAAACCUUAGAAUGGAUCGGAGUCAAUAGAAAAUGCUACAUAAUAGGACACCUUGUCUCUAUGUCCACCCUUAGGUAGAAAAAUAUGUUUGAUCAUGUGGUGGUGCACCCUAGAGAUAAUGCUCAAGGCAUGGGCAUGGAGCUUUGAAGUCACUGUGUCGAUGGGUAAGUUACAUAUCCUCUAGAAAGCCCUACCUAGGUUAAAACUAGACACUAUAGGCCAUCCCUUCGUCUCAAAUAAACAAAGUCCCCCACAAAGGAUCUCCAAAAUAUCACAAAGCAUAUCAAUAUUUAGUUUAAUUCAACUCCUCUAACAAAUGUGCUAAUUGGCCUUCAUAUAUUUUAGGUUCAAGUAAAAUACCUGAACAAGGUUGGGGUAUGUAGGCUCUCUUGAUGAGAUGGUAUUGGUGAGUAUUUUUUUUUCUUCAAUACAAAACUAUUACAACACUUGGUUUUUUUUUUUUCUAAAAAAAAAAGAAAAAUAAAAAUAGUUUUAUAUUAUACUUAGUUUCAAGAAAAAUAAUAAUCAAAGCAAAAUGAAAAAAAAAUUCUCAUAUUGGUUUCUCGUGAAAAAUAUAAAAGCAAAUAAAAUACAAUUAAAAUUAAUUAAAAUCUUAUGUAUUUUUAAAUUAUUAAUUUUUAUAUAAAAAAUGAAAAAUAGUAUAAUGAAUUUAGAAGAAUAUAUAAAAAUAAUGUAUUAACUUUAAAUCUUUUUUUCUUUAUAUAUAUAUUUUCCCUUCAAUUUUCUAAUACCAACACAUAAUAAGGUUAAUGUCUUCUAGCCAACCAAUUGUAAGUCAAUUUUCAUAGAGCUUUUUUUUUUUUUUUUUUUUACAUGCCACCAAGUAGUUAUAUAAGCAUUUUUGCAUGUUAUUGUUAUCCAACAUACAAUAACUAUAACAUCCAAUUAUUAUGAACAUGAACAAUAAAAUUAGAUGCAACUAACUAUUUAGUGUAUAACAAGAAGUUGGUGAAGUAAUUCAUCCUAACAUGAUUCAACAAUUUUUGUUUAUUUUUCAAGAUUAAUUAUAACAUACCCAUUCUAUUAAAGUUGUUGAGAUAUUUGAGCAAAACUAAAAAUCAACAUUAAUUCAUUUUAUACCCACAAGAGAAAUAAGAUUUGUUUUUUUGUUUGAUAAUAAAGUAGUUGUAGUUAUUAAUGAUAAUUUUGAUCCUAAUUUAAUAGGUAUCCAAAAAAAAAGGAAAAAUGCAAGUAAACCAAUUCUUAUCUAACACAAUUAUUACCACCUUAAAAUCCUGAGGGGUAGCUCAGUUGAUCAGUUCGAGUCCCUUUAGGACCAUGAAAAGCUUACCCGAUGGUUCACCUUAAGAAAAGCAAAGCAUUUAUAUAAUUCAACUGGUAGUUGAUAAGUCUUAGAAAGGGUUUUGCCAUCAUUGGCUUCUCAGUAAAGGGCAAAUUUGGGUUGUGGCUGACAAUUAUUGAAUUUGUGAAGAAAUAUGUGAAGAAAGGAAACAAAAAGAGUUGAGGACAGAAUUCUUCAAUUAAAAAAUGGUUAGCCCAUGAACCCAUUCUUCAAACAGUAAGCCAAUGAGCCAAUGAGCCAAAAAGAAAGAAGAACAGCUGGUUUCAUCUUUUUAUCUUAAUGACUUUGACAACCCAUCUUUCUUUUAAAUACUUGUGACUUUGGAAUAUAAUUAAAAUGAAACUUUGGAAUGCCCACAUCUGAUUCACGGCCUUUUUACCUGUUUUCUUGUUUAACAUUUUUUUAAAUAUUAUAACAGAUGGAAAAACAUGAUUCUAACAGGCUGGAAAAUAGUGGAAGUUGGAACACCAACCAUAACCAAACUAUACCUUCCAUCUUUCUCCAACACUCGGAAUUAUUGAUACAAGUUGGUGGUUUUAUGAUUGUUUCUAUUGAGGGGACCCCUCUCCAUUUCCAAUUUCAAUGGAAAGGUUCUUCUUUCCCUACUUUUUUUUUUUGUUUUUCAAAUUCUUGUAGUUUUGUCUGUCUCUCUCAACAAAGCAAACUGCAAUCACUAAUUCAAAGAAAAGGAAUCCUAAAUGAAAAGAAAAGAAAGGAAAGGAAUGGUAAUUUAGGCUAUGAUGAUGCUCCUAUAUAAUGGCUGUAAGUCAAUAACAACACACUGGACCCGCCUCCUAUCUCAAAAGAUCACAAACCCAAAUAUCAUAUACUUCCAAAUUUCAAUUUGGUUCCCUGUUUAUAUCACAAUCUGUCCUAUAUCCUCUUAAUACAUCUAAAAUCUCUCUAUAUCAUAAAAAUAAUGAUGGAAAAAAAAAUUAAAAAGAAAGAAGGAAAAAAUGACAAAAAAAAAAAAACCUUGGUGCUGCUAUGGGUCCAUAGGAAUUGGCAGGACUGCACUUCUGGAUCCCCUUCCAUGGCCAAAAGAAAAGAAUGAUCUUCGGAAUCUGCUGCUGCAACCUUCACUAGGGCUGAAGUCACUGACAGGCCUGUUCUGUUGCAAAAUCUCUUGAAUUGCUAAAUACAGCUGCCUGUCGUUGGAUGAGUCCAUUGAAAAAGACCUCCUGAUGGGUUGGAUUGAGAACUGAUCAUCUUUGCCUCUAGUGUCAAUGCACUCAUCACCCAUGCUUGCAACAUGAUGAAACUUCCUUGCCUUUUUAGGCACAAUUCUCUGCUCUAGCUUCCUAGGUGAUGGACUAAUUGAUGGCGCAGAUAACUCUCUGGAAUUCAGUCUUUCUGGUGGCCUAAGCAGUGAUGAAUCAGCAGAACUAUCAUUUCCCAAUUCAAUUACUACAAAAUCUUCAUCCCCUCCUAUGUAAUUAUUGGCGUAGGGGCUUGGAUCUUGGGGGGAAGAGCUAGGAGCAAUGAUUUGGUGAACAGGAAACCGGGGUGUGGUUGAAAUGCUUGUUCUGCAAAGUGGGCAAUUAGCAUUGCUUUGAAGCCACACGUCUAUGCAAUCUAUAUGAAAUAUGUGACUGCAGUUUGGUAUGAUUCUUAGCUUCUCUUCUUCUUGAAACUCAUUCAAGCAAACCGCACACUCGCAAUGGCUUCUUUCUCCAAACUCUCUGCCACCUCCUUUCCUGAACUGGAAUAUUGGGAUUGAUCUGAUGACUGACUCGUCCAGGCCUCGACUCUCGAUUGCUGGGGAGUACACCAUUAAAGGGUCUUCCGGGUGCCGACUCCUUGAGAAAGAAAAUCGUCUCAGCAGAUCAAUCCGGUGCCAAUUGAGGCAGCAUUUGAUUACAAAGAUGUAGUAGCUCACCAGCAAGAAAGCAGUGGCCAGGAUUCCUAUUACGGCAAUGGCUAUAAUGGGGAAACUGGUGUCCGAGGAAUGAGAGGGAGAAGGAAGCACUGAGCUCGCCUGGCUUUUGAUGGGAGAAAAGGCUUGUGAUCCAUGGAUGGAGGAGUCUGUGCUCACAAGAUCCAUGAGAGAGGCUAUGAAAAACAUUUAGAAAUGAGUCUAUUCGGAUCUUCAAUUCACAGAAACAUGCAAAUGCUAGAAUAAAAUCGACAGACACUCAGAUAUAGACCCUACAGUUGUAAUGCAGCAUACCAUAAAUGUGAUUGAGUGAGUGAGGCUGAAACAGCAAAUGGGUCACUUCAAGAUCUCAACAAGACAGAAAACCCAUGUUGAAUUCACCAGGAGAGUAUUGAAAAGGGAAAAAUUAAGGACAUAUAGCUGUAUUGAAAGUUGAAACAAAUGCAGAAACAUAGAGAAGAGAGAGAGAGGGAGAAAACCCAGGAGGGUUGAAUGAGAGCGCUGCUGGGGAAGACAUCAAAACGCUUCAAAUUCAAUGAGAAUCUGUUGGGGACCUCUUUAAGAGGACUGCACAAAGCCUGAGCGUAGGGUACGUGGUUGGUUGGUGAAUUUCUCGGCUUCCAAAAGAGAAAUUUGGUGAGAAAAUUUUCAAGUCUCUUGAUUAUAGUAACGUAGCGUUUAUUUUAAUUUUAUGUAACCGAAACUAAUGGGCUGGUUCAAAAAAAUAAAAAAUAAAAAAAGGAACUUUCUAGGAUAGGCCAGCAGUCCACCGUUGGUCAUGUGGUUUCUUUUGCAUGUCCACAUCUUCCAACUAGUGGAGGUCCCUGUCACAACAGUAAGAAAACACCCAAUUGAAUAAAAGUAUGAACUUUUGGCUCCCAAUAUUACUUAUGCCCUCAUUCAAUACCUCAAAUAAAGCAGAGAUUUUGUGUCCCAACUUUUAUGAUUUCAUUUCAUCUUACUUCAAAUGCUAAUGACAAAAGUCCAAGUAUAUUCUGUAAUCACCCACACCCCAAUAGUUUUGAAUCACACUUGAAAUAGUUCCCAUGCUUUCUUAAUAAUUUAGAUAAUUAUUUACAGAAAAAAAAAUUCAGAACAGGAUGAUAAUCAUUUUGUGAUAGCAUGGAAGAAACUUUACUAGCCACUUUGGCCCCAUGAAGUUGAGUACUUGAUGCCAAUUAAUGGCAGGGUGGAAAAUAGAGAAAAGGGAUCAUAGUCAAAUCUAGAGUACAAGGCAUUGAAUCUUUGUUAAUAAUUAACAAAUGGGUAAAGCAUGGGUCACAGGGUCUACAGUUUGGAUUGCAAAAACCUCAGGCUUCUAUAAAAAGCUCAUCCAUUAUCAAUCAUCAAUCUGAAAGCCAGAAAGUCCAAGGCACAUGCAACCCACGACAGGGGUAAGAUUUCUGCAUCAUGUCCCUGAGUUGCAUUCACAUCAUAUGUUUCCCUCCGGGCCGUUCCAAUUUGAAAUCUCAUGGAAAUCUUCAAGAGCAAGGCUACAGAGUUUAAGAUAAUACUAGGGGUGGGUCCUGAUGGGAAAAGAGGUAGUGUAGGAUAGUCAAUAAAGGGCAUGUGUCUCUGGUGUGAAGUCAAAUCCAGUGUACCAUCCUCAAUGGAAAAUUUAGAAAUAGAACCGACACUCUACAGACUGCCGUGUUGACAGAUUAGAGAAAGACAAACCCACUUACACUUGCCUCAAAACCCAGUCCUGCCAUUUCAAAGGCAAAAAAAAAGGGUUUCUUUUUAUAGUCAAAGGUUGAGGCCUGGCCUGGCCUAGCAAAGAAACUUCACCUACUCUUUUCUUAUUUUUCAAAUUAAGGCCAUUCAACUUUUCCUGUUUGCAGGCUUGCUGCCAUAUCUUACUCCAAAAAAGGUGAAAACCCAAAAGAAAAAGAGUGUUUGCUUCAAUGGAAAACUCAUGUUUAAUAAAUUCACCGCACGAGUUUUGUUCCAGCUUUUCCUAUGAAAGCUGUGAUGCGUUUGGUAUGAAGUUGAUUUUGUUCCUAAAAAUUUUGAUCUUGGCGUGGAAGGCAACUUUUUCCUUUUCCCCCUUUUUCUUUUUGAAAAGUUCGGCAUUAGUUACCAAAUGUCCUUUUACUUGCAUGUAGGACAGCGGAAGCAUUACACAUCGCAGCAAAAUCCCAUUUACCCGAAUUUUCCACUAACUCUUUUUAUUUUUUACCAUCAUUUUUUAAUAGAAGUGAUGCACUCUUCAAAUUACAUGAAGCUUUUAAGAAGGUAAUAACCCGUUUCAAAGCGAACUUAACCUACAGAGUAUGUUUUAAAAAUAUUUAGGUAUUUGAUAAAAUUUAAAAAAUAUUUUUUAAAAUCUUUAAAAUGAUUUGUAAUAUUGAAAAUUUAUUUAUACUUUUUUUAAUAAAAAAACAUUUUAUAGGUAAUUUUUCUAAAAUACUUUUAGAGAAAAUGUCUUCCCUUCACUAUAAAUAUUAUAUACUAUCAAAUACACUUUAAAAAUCUGUUUAACAAUAAUUUUAUAAAGUGUUUUUAAUUUUAAAAAUAUUUUUAAAAACAAAUUAAAUUUUUGAUAAAAUUUAAAAAAUCUUUUUAAAAAUUUUGAAAAAUAUCUCGUAAUAUUAAAAAAUAUAUAUAUUUAUAAUGUUUUUUAUAUAAAUACUCAAAAUUCAUUUAAUAGUGAUUUUAGGAAAUGUUUUUAAUAUUUCUAAUACUUGAAAAUUUUUUAUCAUUUAAGUAUUAAAAAUAUUAAAAACACUUUAUAAAAUCACUUUCAAAUGGACUCUUAAUGAUUUUACUAAAAACACUUUUCAUAGAAAACAUUUAUAAAAAAUAAUUAUGAAAUACACUCUAAAUUAAGUAAAAGUUGUUUUUAACAUUACCACUAUUUAUUAAUAGUGCAUUUGUUUAAAAUAUUUAUAUGAAAAAUUCAUUAGGGUGGGAUAUAAAUAUAGAAGUGUUUUUCUUUAUAUAUUUUUUAUAAUAAAAAAUGAUUUUUGAAAUUAUAAAAUUUGAAUUUAAGAAUCAUUUGAUAAUAAUUUUUGUUAAAGCACCUUUAAUACGUGGUGCUUCUAUUGAUAGCGCUUUCAUUUCUAUGAAUGGCUAUAAAUUAUAUUUGAAUAAAUUUUUUAUAAUGUAUUAUAUAAUAAAAAAAAAGUCAUUUUUAAAAAAAUUAUACAUUAAAUGAUUAUUCAAAUAGUAUUUCCUAAAUUUUAUUAAACAUUUUUUUCAAAAAAAAAAAAAAAGUUUUCAAAUACUAGAAAACGUUUUUAAUCUCUCACACGAUCACAUCCAAACAAGUCCUAAUGCUACUCCUAGAAACACUCCAAAACAAAAGUCUUCCUCUAUUAAUGUUCAUAAAAUCCACAUAUAUUCUUCCAUCGUUUUUUCAAAAUUCAAAAUCAUUUCUAAAACAUCAAAUCAUGUUCUUUGGAUUGGCUGACUUGUUUUUUGAAAAUAGAAGGCUCAUUAUUGACGUCCGUUGACUUCAUAACCCAGUCUUGAUCUCUUGAUGGAGGGCAUAAAUGUAAAUUGGACGAAACCCUAGGGUGCGCUAGAGUGUAGAGGAUGAAAGGUUGGAAAAAGGAUGAGGUGGGGGUGUAAUAAAGAGGAGGGUUGGGAGAAUGGGACAUGUGUAGGUGAAGCAUUAAAUUCAAGACUAUGCUUACCAACAACAUAUAAAUAAAUAAAUAAAUAAAUAUAGGAACAGCACAUGGGGUGAGUAGGAGACAUCAGAAGAUGUGAACAACCCCUUGUCAGUCCAAUUUGCGUCUUUUAUCUACUCUAUUAUCUAUAUCGAUUUUCGUAUUUAUUUAUUUAUUUAUUUAUUUUUACCAUUUGAUUUUGCAUGGAUGUCGAAGGGUUUAUUGGCUGCCACGUGUAGGGUUAUGGUCAAGAUCACGUGGGGUGCCUACAUGGGAGUCACGUGAGUGCAUGAGGCAGGCUUGAAUUGCAGGAGGAGCAGGAGCAGAGCAGUGGCUGUUGUCUUAAGACUUUGCUCUCUUGGUGGAACUGCAGCUUAAGCAGCAUCCACGUGUUGUCACGUGCAAUGCGAGCCAUCCACACCACCAGUUUCUUUUUAGUGAUUUUCUAAAGUCAGUUAAGGUUGCAGUCAAUACCUUCAAAUGUUGACAGAGUUAGGGAUCUUUGUUAAAUGGAUUUUAUUAAGAUAUUAGUAAGUUAAUUAAUUGAGGGUCAACAUAACAGAUGGGUCGGGUUGGGUUGAAUCUGAAUUUAAAACGAUUUAAUUUAUGUUUAAUCAAAUUUAACAUUUAACUCGAAGCACUCAACUUAAGUUUAAUUGAAUCUUAGUUUUCAAAACAUUAUUUAAAUUUGGGUCAUUUGGAUUAAAGUCAAAUGGGUUAGAUUAAUCGGGUUAUAUGGUUCAAAAUCCACUUACCUUAUUUUUUAUACAUUAAUAUUAAAAUUUAAAUAAAAAAUAUUAGAAGAAAUUUCAAACUUGGGAUUAGUUGAUUGUAGCCAUGCAUUUGGAUGUUGGUAUUCUUGUUUCUUGUCUUGUUUCCAAAUACCCUUUCAAAUCGCUUUGUUAUUCAAUAGCAUCCUCCCGAUCAUUUAAAAAUUUAAAGAGCAUUGGUAUGAUGGAGGAAUUCAGAAAUUUUAGUUGAAUAAGUAAAAUUUUUCUCUCAUAAAACCAAAUAGCCUCUAUAGCUCAGUGGUAGAGCGUCAGUCUUGUAAACUGAAGGUCUGUAGUUCGAUCCUGCAUGGAGGCAACUUUUUAUAUUUCAUGAUCCAUUAUGCUCUAGUGAUUUAGUUUUCAUUAUAAUUUUAGAUUAAAAAAUUACAUCAACAUUUGAUAAGUUGGUUAUGACUUUGAUAUAAGGAUGAAACUAUCAAUAAUAUAUAUAAAUAUUUUGACACAAAAUAUCUAAUAUAUUAAAAAAUUAAAAAAAAACUCUAAAAAACAUUAUAAAAUUAUAUAUAUAAUUUAUCAUAUUUAAUAAUAAUAUCUUCUACCCUAAUAAAAAAUAUAAAUUUUAUAAGCAUACAUUUAUUAUUACAUUGUAUUAUAUAUUAUUUUACAAGAAUAUUAUGAUAACAUGUCUAAUUUUAAAAUAUAUUUAAUAUUAAAAUUAUCAUCAAUUUUAAUUUAAAUGUAUUUAAUGAUAUCAAAUAAUAUAUAUAUAUAUAAUUUUUUAAUAUUUAUAUAUUUUUAUAUUUAAUAAAUAUAUAAAUUAUGUAAAAAAAAAAGACCUAUUAAGAAGAUUAUGUUUUUAUAUUUGGAUCAAAAUUAAGUUUUUCCGAUAAAAUAUAUGAAACUAUUGAUAAAUUAUUGAUUGAAACGUGAAAAAAAAAAUUCAAAAAAUAGAUGAGAUAUUAGUAAAAUAUCCGAAAAUAUUGAUUGAUGAAUAUAUCAUUUCAAAUUUUGCAUCAACAUCCACAUAUGUUGGAUAUAUUGGCCAAAUAUAUUUAAACCUUGUUUCCAUGAGAAGUCUUUCCUUCAACAAUUUCAAAAGGUUAAUGAGGUGGUUUCCAAGAGAUGUGUGUAGGGGUCUCCAACGGGCGGGCCGGGCCAGCGGGCUUUUUGAAAUAAGCCAAAAUGGCUUUCAAAAAAGGGAAGGGAGAGGAUUUAAACCCCUUCCUUCAUGCUUAAAUUUCAAGGUUCUAACCAAUUGAACUACAUUCCUUUAAUGUUUAUUAAUUGAGUUAGUUAUAUAUAUAUAUAAAAAUAAAGUAUAUUAUUUUUUAAAGGGGCGGGCCUACGGGCUGGGCCGGGCCGAAAGCGGGCCACGGGCCACGGGCUUUUUGGAGACCCUUGGAUGUGUGCAAUCACAUUUGGUAUUAUAGGUGACAAAGUUUGAUAAAUGAGUAAUUAUUAGGUUAACUUAUAAAAUCCGAAUUUGAUUUAAAUUGAUUCAUUUAAUAAUCCCAUUUAUUUACCCAAUUAAAACUUUAAAUUAUUUAACUUAUAUUUAAUUUAAUUAAAAUUUGUUUUUAAAUAAAUAGAUCAAUUAAAACAUAAACAUAUUUGAUUGAAACAUUAAUAAUAUAGAUUUAAAUAAGACCUAAUUCAACCUAACGAUCAAAUAGAAAUAUCUAAUUAUUAAAUAAAUUAAACAUGUUACUUGCUUAAUAAUUAUGUGACAUUUGAAUUUAUGCUUUUGAUAUAAUUAUUAUUUAUAUCAGGUUUAUAUAAUGAAAUAUCUAGACUUUGACACCAGUCAACAUUGUCCACCAAUACAGAUUGCAACUCUUAUAUGCUACAUCACAUCAUGUUGAAGGAAGAGGAUGACGUUCAUUGGCAGCAGAGCCUCCAAUCAUAAGGAGCUUGAGCAAAUUCAAUCUCAACACUGAAAUUCACUAGAAAAAAAGUUUAUUAUUGAUACUUCAUUUGUGUAAAAGCAUUAUAUUUCUUGCAUCAAUCGUAAAGCAUGACAUUCCAGUAGGUACGGAAGAGAAAAUUUGUUAUGAAUUGAAAAAUCUGUCAAGCUUAAUUUGGAGGGCCCAAAAUUGACACGUUUAAGAGCUCUAUCAUUAGCCCAAUGAUAAGAGUCCAUUUCUUGAGUUUCAAGGAAGGCCCAAGUUUAACUUAGAGGGCCCAAUCUUGGUACCUUCUAAAAGGUGCAAACUUUGGCCCAAUUAUAAAAGCUUAUCCUUGCUUCCUAAGCAUCAAUGAUAUAUUUGAUCGAAGUAUUCACAUAACUAUCACGAAAUGAAAUGAAAUGAAAAUGUAUAAGUAAAUGAUGAUUUUGAGUUAUUUACUGACAAUAAAGAAUUAGGUGGUGUUUGUUUUUUUUUUUUUGGCUUUUUACUAAAAGCAAUUUGUUUUCAGAAUUUAGGUUAUUUAUUUUUCUAUUUUUUCAUGACUUAUUAUAAACUUUUUACUAAAUAAGAAAAUCCAAAAUAUAUAGUUUUUUCUAAAUAGAAAAAAUAACAUAUUGGUUUUCUUUUUUUUUUACUUUUUAAUAUUUAAUAGAAAUAAAAUAUUAUAAAAACAAACAACCUAAUAUUUAACACUAUUAAGUAUUAAGGUUUUAUUUAGAAUUAAGUAAAAAAACAAACACUACCUUAAAAUGAAAAGUAUGUAUAAUGACCUUAUACAAAAAAAGUCUCAUUAUUUUCUUCCAAAGAACUCAUACUUUUGUUUUUCAACUAUUACUUUGUUUUUAUUUUUUAAAUAAUAUUUCAAGUUUUUUUUAAUAAUACCUUUCUCUUUAUUAGAUAAUUUUAAUGACUUUAAAAGUAUUUUAAUAUAUUAAUUUAUUAUAUAAUUUUAAUGAUUUAAAAAUAUUUAAAUGUUGAAAUAUUUAUUUUCAAGUCUAAUUUUAAUUAUUUAUUUUUUGAAGUAUUUAAAUAUAUAAUAAAUGUGGGAUUAUGUAAAUCUAGUUGUAAUUAUUUAUUUCAUUCUAUUCAUGUUUUUAGUUGAAUUUGCUCAAAAUUUACACCUCUUUAUUUAAAGAUCAUGGAUUAGUUAGGUGUCUUGAGAUUUUUUUUCUCUCAAGACACUACUUGUUACACUAGAAAAUAAUUUGUGGCUAUAUUUUUUAGGCAAAAAGAAUUAUAUGUUAAAACUUCCUUUAUUGACUAGUUUAUCAUAGGGUGUAGAGGAAAGUUUGUGAUGUCUUUUUAUGUCAACUUUGGGAGAAAAAUAUCACUUUAGCAUUUUCCUUAGAAAAUUUUCAUACAUAAUUGAUUUUGGAACUAUGGAGGAGCAUAAGUAGGGAUAGAUAAUUCGAUUUUGGAAAAAUUAUAAUAGCUUUUCAACUUGGUGUUAAUGAUAUAUUGUUUAUUUCUUAUUUUUUUUCCAUUUUAAUAUAUAAUUGGGGAUUUUAAACUUGUAGAACAAGGCUUUUUCAAUUGAAUUGACACGUACAUAUGAAAGUUCUCUUUGGUUGCUAAUCACAUUUUUUUUUCUUUUGCUUUUUGUUUUUAUCAUAAUGAAUAUUGAACUCGAAAUUCAGUUUUUAAAAUCUUAUGAUGUUUUAAAGUUUAUAAAUAUUAUUGAUUUUUAUAAAUGAUGUUAUUCAUAUCUUGGUAAAGACAAUAUUUUCAUAUCGGUCAAGAUGAUUAAUAACAUAUAAGUUCAUAAAGAAAAACCUAUUGAUUAAUGGAUAUUUAAUGAUUUUUAUUAGGAAUGUUUUUUAAUUAGUUUCAAUACUCAUCUUUUAGAGCAUACAUAUAGGGUUUUAGAUGCUACAUUGGUUUUCAGCUUGUGAUUUAAAUUAUUGAAGCAAAAAAUGAGGGUUUUGCUUUAUGGAACUAUCUAAAGGGAGGUGAAUUAGGCGGUCUUCCUUUUUAAAAUCCAAAAAUUAGAUUUUUAAUACUUAUAUUAGUUAUACAUGUGUUCAAUAAUUAAAACAAAGAACAAGUCCAUAAUUUACAUGUGAUGUGCAUGGAAAAACACCUACAAAUUCUCUCAAAUACUUUACAAAUGAAAAAAAAAUCAAGGAUCGAUCAAUCACAGAGCAACUUCACUAAAUAUGAAAACAUGACUAUACAAUUUUACUUGGAUGAGGUGCUACCUUCUCUUAAGGGUUUUUACACUAGCCAACAAUUACACUCACCUUCACUCUCACCAUGCACCUCUAUUGUGCUCCAUAGUAAACACUUUAAUGACUGUAGCAAGAUUGCGAUAAAUUACUGCGAUUAAUUUGAGAGUGUUGAUAAUGAACAAAAAAUAAUGAUAAUUAACUAGAGAGCAUAUGAUUUUGUAAAAACACCAAAAAGAGGCAUAGUUAUAAGUGAAAACUUUAAUGGAUUGGAUUGAAUAUAUAAUUGAAGUAUGAAUGAAAAAUUACCAAAACAAUGUUCAAAACCGUGCUAAUCAAAGCACAAUCACUUGAGUACUCUCAUGGGGCACUUGAAUGCUCCUUUUAAUCACCGUAAUGCUGAAAUUAAUAAUUUGUCUCAAAUUGUUUUUCCAAAACAUAAAGCAAAAUAUUAUAAAUUUAUAUAAUCAAACCCAAUUUCAUCUUAAAGCUAGCCUACUUAGUCUUAAUUCAUGUCCAAAAAUACUCAUACUUGUCAAAGAAUGAAUAUGGUAUAAACAAAUUCUUUAUUUUCAAUUAUAUUCAAUUAUUGAAAGAAUAAAUCGGUUUACAUACAUUUUGAACAAAGGUAUAUACACAUAGACUAAAUCAAGGAAAUGAGGAAAUCAAUCACAAUCAAAUCAAAAUCAAAUGAUAGGUUGAUAUCUAGGAGAAGGUUAAGUUAGAACCAACUCAUGUAUUCAAUAUUCCCCCUUAAGAUGGCAUAUGGAGAUCAUGAAUAUCAAACCUAGAAAGUAAGGGAUAUGAAAUAUCUAUACCAAGGGAUUUUAUGAAAUAUCAACCAAUUGUUGUUGUGAUUAAACAAAUUGAAUAAGAAUAAUUUCAUUUCGAAUCUUUUCAUAGAUCAAGUGACAAUCAAUUUCAACGUGUUUAUUCUGUUCAUGGAAAAUUAGAUUAAUAGCAAUGUAUAGAGUUGUAUUAUUGUCACAAUAUAGAUGCAUUGACCAAGGAUGAUGAACUCCAAAAUCUAUAAGUAAAUAUUGCAACCAAUGCAAGUAGUAAUCAUUAAAUAAUAUUUCACUUUUCUUCAUGAGUGUUAUAUCAUUGAUUGCUUUUUAGAUCUUCAAGAGAUUGAUAGGCCACCAAGUAAAAUACAAUACCCUAUAAUUGAACAUCAAGAUUAUGCACAAUAGGCAUGGAGGAAGGCAAAAGAAUUCCUUGACCUAGACGAUUUUUUAAAUAGUAUAACACUCAUGUACUUGUGAGAUAAUUGAGACUACAUUGGCUUGUCAAGAAUUUGAACAUAAUUAGCAAUAUUAAGCCCUAUCAUUAUGAGUCAAAGUAACUUCCCAAUCAAAUGCCUAUAAUAAGAAGCAUCCAACAAAGGUUCUCUAUCUAAUUUACUCAAUUCCAAAUUUUGUUUCCUAGGAGUUUUUAAAGUUACAUGUUCCAAGAAAACCAAAAUCUUUUAGUACUUCUAGAGCAUGUUUUCAAUAACUUAAAUAAAUCUCAUUCUUAAAAUAUGUCAUUUCAAUGAUGAUGAAGUACUUUAAUUUUCCAAUCUCUUAGUUAGUUUGAAAAUGCUAUAUAGGUUUUCCUUGACCACCUUAAUUCCUUUAAGAUCAUUCAUUGUAAUAAUUAUAUCAUAAAUGUAAACAAGAAUGAUUGUGAAAUAGUUAUUUGAGGCUUGAGCAAAUAAGAAGUAAUAUGUACGUCUUGGCUUGCUUGUAAACCAUAAACAUCAAUGUGAUAGAUAAUUUGGCAAACCAUCAACGUGAAGCUUGCUCAAGGCCAUAAAGGGAUUUUUUAACUUUGCAAAUCAUAUUUUUGGUUCUAGAUUUCCUACAAACUUGGUGGAAGCUGCAUGUAUACCUCUUUAUCUAAGUCUUCAUAAAGAAAAACAUCGUUGAUGUCAAGUUGGUGAAGAUGUCAAAUUCUAAUUAUACAAUAAUUAGGGGUGACAAUGUGUCUUAUCGUGUUGAGGUGAGAAAUAGUGAAAAUUUACUUAAUCCGACUAUGACCCGUUUGAUAAUCGUGUCAAAAUAACCUAACAUGAAUACAAUUAGUUUAUUUCAUGUAACAUGACCCUUUUAACAUGUUUAAUAAAUAUAUUAACUUGGAUUAUGUAUUAAUUGACAUGAAUAACUCAUUAACUUGAUUUCAACCCCUUAAACUCAUUAACACAAUUCCAACCCAAUAAACUCGUUAAUAUGAUUUAACUCAUUAAACUUGUUAAUAGGAUUAUAACCUCUUUAACCUAUUUAAAAUUUUAAAUUUAUAAAUAAUAAAAUACUUCUAGAAAGUUUAAUUUUUAAAAUUUGAACUAUAAUACAUGUAUGCACCAAUUUCAUGAAGUCCUGAAAAAUUAGCAAAAUUAUAGAAAAAUAAUAUAAACAAAAAUUUGUAUUAAAAUUAAUAAGUAUGGGCUACAAUAUUAGUCAUAGUACUGCUUAUUUCUGAAUGACUUUAUUAAAAAGCGAAGAAUACAUGUGUAGUUCUUAUGUGAUUUCUUAAACUUGUAAGGCGAUUUUAUAAAGUUUUUUUUUUCUUUGUGAAACCUCUUUUUCUAUGUGAAAUUGUUUUGCCGAUUUGAAAUCUUCAUUAAAGGAAGUUACUAUUAUUUAUAAUUGAAAUUAGAGAAUGAAAUGUGGAAUCCCCAUGAUUUAGUUGCUUAAUUCAAGGAAUUUGAUUAAUUGAUUUUGGUAACUUGUCUCAUAAAAUUUUCUAACAAGAAUAUUUAUUUUUAAUCUCUUUUAUUUCAAUUGGAAUAUUUGUUUCCUUUGUAAAUUUGUCAAUAGAAUAUUUAUUUAUUUAUUUAAUUCUCUUUUGACUACAAUGAGAAGAUUUGAUUUUGUUUGUAAGACUAAAUUUUAUAACCUUUCAAAUUUGGCCAAGUGACACCUUUUGAAUAUAUGUCACAUGUCAAAUGUGUGUGACUCAUUAGUUGUUGAACCUAAAUUUUCUUGAAUUAGAAAGCUAUACUUUUGAAGACUAAUUUAGUGAUAAUUUAAUUCAUUAAAUUUUUUUGGUGUCUACAGUAUAUUUAUAAUAUGAAAAGUAAAUUAAAAUUUUAAUUUUUUUACUUGUUUAUUAUUUUAUUUAUUAUUUAAUGAUAAAUAUUUUUAUUCUUUAUUGAAAUAUAUAAAAUUUUAAUUAAUAUUUUAAUUUUUUUAAUUUCUAUAUAUAAAAUAUAUAGAUUUAUAUGGUCUAAUUGAGUCAUUAAAAUAAAUAGGGUAAAUAACUCACACAUAAGUGAUGGAUCAUUCUAACAUGAUUAAAUUAACAAGUUAGAUGAAUUGAGUAGUCAAAUACAAACAUGAUUUGUUUAUUAAAUAAGUUAUAUGAAUUGAUACGAUUAUGACAUCAACUCAAUUAAACUUAACUCAAAUAAGCUUUGUCUUUUAUUUUAAGUUGUCUAGUUGUUCACACAAAUUUUCUCAAAAUAAAGAAAUUAUAUAUAAAAUUGUAAAUUUGAUUAUUUGAGGGGACCAUUUUCAAUACUCUUUUUUAAGUAAUCUGGUGUUUAAUUUUGAAUCAAAGGGGCUUUCAUUAACAAAUAAUAGACUGUAGUUUUCAUAUAAGAAGAAAUCUCAAGCCUUUUUUUCUUGAAGGAAUCUUUAAAUUUUCUUUGAUACUUUAAAAAAUCAAUCUUCUUUGAUUUUUUAAGAAAUCUUUGAAUUUUCUUAAAGUCUUCAAAAAAAAAAAAAAAAAAAAAACUGAGUUUAAGGAAUUUUUUUAAUAACUCUCCAAAUUUCUUUGAUAUUCCAAAGUGUCCUUUAGAAGGGGACAAAUCCUCUAUUUACAGGAUUGAGAGUUUUAUUUUAAUAUUAUCUCUUAAUUUUUAAGAAAUAACUCUCUUAUUUAUGAUAAUUACUAUUUAUUUUAUUUAUCAUAAUUAGUUGCCUAUGAUAAUUAUCAUAAUUAAUUUUUCUAGAGAUAAAUAAUUAUAUAUAUUUAAUUAAUCAUGAUAACUAUAAUAUUUAUUUAAUUUUUUAUUAAAUUAUUUUACAUAACAUAUCAAUAUAUAUUAUUAGUCAAUUAUUAACACCGAAAAUUAAUGAGUUGGCAUAAAAUUUAUCUCUCUAUAAUAGUAUCAAAGCGAGCCUUAAUAAUAACAUUGCUUAUAGUCAAUUUCACAUGCCAACUUUUUACUGGGCAUUGGCGAUUUCAAUUUUGAUAGUCCGGUUAGAAAAAGUAGGUAAAGAUUAUUUGAUGUGGUAGGUCAUUUCUUUCAUAAAGACGAUGGCGGUGAAUUCAUGAGACAGGUGAUAAAGGAGAGAUUCUUUCUUUUGGCUUUGGAAUUUUAAUGAGGUCCUCGAUCCUCAUCCAAAAUACACCUCUCCAAUUAUAAAAAUCUUAUUAAAAAAAAAAAGAUUUGACAUGUGCCUUUCGAACUGCUGGUUUUCUGUUCCAAAAAUGAGAAUGGUUUCAAGUGGAUGAAGGAAGGUGAAGAACCCUUGGUUUUGUUAAGCGAAAAGCCACAUGAUUAAAUAAACAUAAGGCGGCAAAGGCUGAAAAUUUAAAAUUAUACUAAGGAACCCACCCCACAGGGCGACUACACUUUUGGUGAAGCCACGAGAAUGAAAGAUAUCGAAGGUGACACCAAGACAUUAAGCAGCACCAAGGUUUCGAUAUAUUAUAAGAUGGGAUCUUAUGAAAGACGAUCUCUAAUCUCUCUCCAAUCUCUUCUUUAACCUUUUCUUACUUAAAUCCAUUUCCAUGGUAGGGCACAUGUCCAGCUGACCCUACCCCCUCACCUACCUAUACUGCUAUACCCUUUUGUAUAAUUUGAUAUGGAUUGGAAGCCACCCCAACAUCUUUCUAAUUGCUCGUAAAUGUUGAGGUGCCUUUCCAUUUUGAGGCUGCCCUAAUGUGUGGCUGAAGUACGUAGGAAAAAAAAAUUGUGAUACAUGCACUGACGAAUCAAAUCCCAAUGUCAAAUUAUUAGACUCACCUGGUUCUUAAAUUAUUGUGAAUGCCGCUGGCCAUGGAUAAAUGGAAUUAGUGCGUGGCUUAAUGAAAAUUUAUUUUGAAAGGGAUAUUAAUUUGAGAGAAUUUUGGCUGAUACUUGGAGUUGAACGUAAGCAUAUAUGACCUCAUUUCGGGUGUGAUAUUGUGCUUAUAACGAACCUUUCGUUCUUUCCAAUUCCAGUGGGUAUUAAAUAAUUAAAGAAUUCAUGGUUCGAAGGCGAAAGGUAGAAGACCAAAAAGGGAUUACAAAGCCAUCGGCUUGACCAUCCAGAUGCAAUGGAUACAAACUUUGGACUCUAUCGAAAGUUCUUUGGGCACGUGCCCAAGUGUCCUACCCAUAUGAUAAGUUACACGUGGCUAAUUGCGGACCGGUUGCUCGUGCUAAACAGGGUACUUUUUCUACGCAUAUAAGAUGUUUCACUAGUGGGGCUUCACCAUGCAAACUCAUGGAUGAAGACCCUGAGGCCAAGAUGAAGGAACAGAAAGAAGGCGGAGGAGAGGUUCGGUAUCGAGGCGUUCGGAGGCGGCCAUGGGGGAAGUUUGCUGCGGAGAUACGUGACUCGACUAGGCAUGGAGCGCGCGUCUGGCUCGGGACUUUCAAUUCUGCGGAGGAGGCUGCAAGAGCAUAUGACCGAGCUGCUUAUGCCAUGAGGGGUUCCUUGGCGAUUCUCAACUUCCCUAAUGAGUAUCAUACACCCGGCACGGCUAGCUCUUCAGCUUCAUCCUCAAUGCCCGAAGGUGAUCAGCAGGGAAAACAAGUCAUUGAAUUGGAGUACUUGGAUGAUAAGCUGCUAGAGGAUCUUCUCGACUCUGAAGACAAAAAGAACAAGAAAACCUGAAGUUUCUGCUGCCUCGAAUCCCCUGAAAUCUAGUGCUUCAUCGAAAAAAAAUCCCCUCGCUCCUGAUUAACAACAUUUUUAUUUUAGUCAAUGAAUGUGUUCUCGGAUCAUUAUAAGUAUUUCUGCCGAAGUCCAUUGAUUUUUGGAGACUGAAAAAUGUCAGAAAAAUUGGUGCGAACAGGUUUACUCCUUUCUAAAUUAUGCAAUUGAAGUAUUUGGAUUAGUGCGCAGUGUAAACAUCAAGGAAAGCAUGAUCCACUAUUUUAAGGAGCCUAAGUGCUUUCCCCUUUACUCUUUUAGGAUGUCUUUUCAGUGAAGAAAGUUGGGAGACCACCACUUACCCUUUUGAUUGGUAUAUAACUGCCAACUAAUAACUGGACUAACAUUUGGCCCGUCUGGCCCUACUUCUUUGACUUUGUUGUUAAUUUAUAACUUUAUGUGAAGUGGGGGCUGUUUGGGAAUGUGUGAAGCAAGGAUUUGAGCCGACUUCGCCUAAUCUGAUUCUCCAUAAGUGACUUCAUUUUAUCAUAUUGGUGUUUUUUUUCUUCUUCUUUUUAAAUGGCUGGGGAGGAGGGGAUUUGGGAGGGAUGCAAUGCCAUGGUUGCAUGCUGGAUUAUCCUUCCAAAUGAAACAUCCAUUUGGUUUCUAGUAACUAAUUGCAAACAAUUAAAGAGAAUAAAAUUUUAAGAUGAUUAAACAAUAAGUACCUAUGUCCAUGAAAAGGAGAGAAGUUCACUCAUGGGUGUUCAUGAAAGACAUCACAAAGAACCAUCAAUAUGAGAAGAAUCCUGAUACAAUUAACUUUCAUGCAUAAGAAAAGACGCUCAAAAAAGAAUAAUGCUUACAAGGAAAGAAUCUCACUACGAUCAACUGAAAAAAUAUUCCAAUUUAAUUGGAAAUCCUUACAUGGGAAGAAUAUCAAUAAAAUCAACUAAAAAAAUAUUUUAAUUUUAUAUCAAAAUAUUUGUGAUUUAACCCGUAUCAUUUCAUCAUGACUUCUUAUAAAUUUUGUUCCUUUUUAUCAACACCACCCCUUGAGUUGGAGCAUAAAUAUUUAUUAAGCUAACUUGAACAAGAUCUUGAGAAAUUUUGUCGCAGGAUUUGUUUGCACUUUUUUUUUUCAAAUAAAGUCAUAAUUAACUUUAAUAUGUUUAAUCAUUUCAUGAAAUACUAGAUUUUAAGCAAUGUUGAUAGCAUACUUAUGCCUGAAAGCUUUAUCCCAAAUCACAUGAGUACAUGAAGUGAUUGCAUCAUUAAUGGUAGUAUUAUUACUUUAUAUUCAACUUCUCCACUUGAUAGGAUGCAUGAAAGCAUUGUGCUUUCUUCUGUUUCAAGUAAUAAAGAUUAUCACCAAGAAAGGUGCAAUUAAUACCUAGUAACAGAGUACCUAGUGGUAGCAUGCACCUAUCCACUGAACUUGUACUCGACUCUAUGAGUGUACGUUACAUAGUCCUUUUUUCGAAGUCUAAAUGUCCCUUGAUAAAACCUUCUAAUAUUUGAGGUUUUGGUAACAUUCAUGUAUCAAUGAACAAAUUAAUUUACUAGCUAAACUUUAAAAUUAGGCAAUGUUUUUCAAUGGGUGAUCAAGAUCUUGGAAUUUUCAAUGUUGUUUGAAUAGCUUCCACACACAAGCAUAUUUUCUCCUAUUUAGGAAUAAUCCCUUUUUUGAAGGUGUGAUCUUUAUGCUCAAAAAAUAAAGAUACUCAAAAAUUUAAUAUUGACCUUCUCGUGAAGGAAAAGCUUUAUAACUAAUUUUUUUUGUGCAUUAUAUAUAUCCUCAAUAUAGACUUUAAAAAAAAAAGAAGUAACUCCCUCUACAAAGAGUGAAGAGUCAAUUAAACUUUUUUUUUUUUAAAAAAAAGGAACCAAUUACUCGUAAAAGUAAUGAUUAUUUUUACAUACCAAACUUGAGGAGAUUACUUAAGAUCACAAAAGUUUUUAUUAAAUUGCAAGCUAGAUGCAUUUGAAACGAUCGUUGAUGUCUUAGCAACACCUUAUGUAACUCAUCAAUCUUUAUGUAAAAAUGCAUUUUUAACACCCAUAUAAAAUAAUGAUCAAUCCUAAUUUAAUAGAAACAAAUGGUAAUACAUGAAUAUCAUUCAUAUUAAUGAGAAAAGUAAAUAUUGAUUUAUAAUCAACUUCUUAAGUUUGUGUCAAUGCCUUAAUCAUUAGUUUAACUUUGUCAUUCAAUGAUACCAUCAUUACGACAUUUAAUUAACUUAGAUUUGCGUAAAUCCCUUAAUCACUAGUCUAGCUUUAUGUCAUUCAAUGGUACCAUCAUUAUGGUAUUUAAUUGAUCUUAUACCCCCAAUUUGUAUACCCCAUGUUUUUCUUAAUUUACCAUACAUCACUUAACAAUGUUCCAUGCAUGGAUUUUGUUAAGUGCCUUAAGUUCCUUUUGCAUAGCCUUUCUCCAAAUUGGAUGAGGAUUGGCUUCAUUAAUGUCAUUAGACUCAUGAUAUAUGGAACUCAAACAAUUGUUAAGUGAUUUUGUAUAUAUAUAAAAAAAAAAUUGUAAUUAAUGUGGUAGGCAUAAAAAUCUCACAAAUGAGGAUUGAUUAAUUGUUAUAAUUGAGCAACAUGCUUGAGGCUUAGUCACAAUACUAGAACUUGAAGUCAGACAUUCUCUUCAAAUAAGGACGUAUAUACAUUAUAUUGGAUCUCCAUUAAACAAGUAAAGAACUAUUUAGUAGACAAUGAAACCUCAUUGAUCAAUGGUGGUAGAGAGACACAUGAUGACCAGACUAUUCCCCUGGAAAUGAGAAUAAAAAAUAUCAUUAGCCGCAAAAAUCUCAAAAAAAUUUAGAUAAUGGGAUAUAAAGAGUUUAUGAAUUUUACAAUCAUAACUCUUAUACUGGUUUAAGUGGUAGAGUAAUCAAGAACACAAAACGAGUUUGAUGAGUGGUUGAGAUAUGAACAAAGCAAAGAUUUCCAAAGACACCAAAAUCAGAAAUCUCAAUUUUUGGGCUAAGGAUUUCAAGAAGAAAUUUAAAAUUAACUACAUGACUAGAAAAUUUGUUCAUCAAGGAAAUAGAAGUAACGAUAUCAUAACAUCAUAAUUAAUCAAUAUUUUUAAUAACAUGCAUUUGGAACAUGAUAUACCGGCUUUCUAAUAAUCAAUGAUUUUUGGUUCAACCACACCAUUUUGUUUUGGGAUGCCAAUACAACAAGUUUAACGAANNNNNNNNNNNNNNNNNNNNNNNNNNNNNNNNNNNNNNNNNNNNNNNNNNNNNNNNNNNNNNNNNNNNNNNNNNNNNNNNNNNNNNNNNNNNNNNNNNNNAUGUAAGUGCCAAAUUAGGUAGUGUCGACAAUGAAAUGGAAAUUUUGGAAUAUAGAAACAACCUCAUUUUUAUGUUCUAAUAAGUAAACCUAUGUAGCAUAAGAAUAGUCAUUAAAAAAAAAGGUAACAAAAUGUUGAUUUCCAUCCUAUGGAUCAAUUAGGACACAACCCCAAGGUAAACUAAUUUGAAAGUUGCAACAAAAAUGGAAAGAGAUGAAAAAAUAAUAGAGGAAUUUAAGGUUGUUUCAAAAUUUCAAGACAUGCUAAGAAACACAUGAGAUUAUAGAUGAUUAGGUAACAACCUUGGUUAAGUAUAUUCAACAUAUAUAUCCCACGAGGAUAAAUAUCUUCACUAAACUUUUCCUAUUAUUCAAUCCCCUAAUACCAUACAAGUGAAAAAUUAAUGUCACGGUCAAAAAUUUUAAUAAGCUUCCAAAGAGAUAAUAAUUUUGGGGAAAAAAACAACCUAAGAAACCUAUGAAUUGAGAUAAUUUAGGAAAAAACUAAAUGUUCGUUAGCUCUAGAAGGGAAUUGAAGCUCAUCAUCAAUAAAGAUUGUUGCUAUCUCGAAUAAUAUCAAGUAAACCAUUAAGAUCGCUAUUAAUGGUAUGAUUAGCAGCACCAAUUAUCGACAAAAAAAUUAUUAAAAAUAUAAGAAAUGAGAGCUUUAAGAUUAUCUAAUUGAUUUGUAAACCUAGGUAAGUGAAUCAGUAUUACGUUUUGUUAAGGAAGCUUAGAUCCAAUUGGUAUCAUUCACCAAGUUAUUGGAUUAAAUUACACUAUCAAACUUUGGCUUUAAAUGAGAAUGAAGAAUCUAACCACAAUCCUUAUUGGGAUUAGAUAUGUUAUUGCAAUAAUGUUUACAAUCGGAUGAGUGCUAAUUUCUAUUGAAAUCAUGAAGCAAUCUCUGAUCAUUGGUCUUCUUUGUAGAAACAUGAGCAUUGAAUUUAAAAUUAAUAAUUGUUACUUGGGAUUCAACCUUCAUAAUCAUUGCCUGGGUUUCCUAAUCACUUUCAAGAAUUACUUAUAUAGUGAAGGCACUCGAAACUAAUCAAAUUUGUCCUCUUAUAAAGUUGUCAUAUUCAAGCUUCAGAAUAGCCAAUAAUUGAAAAACUUAUCAUACUCCGCAAUUUGUUGAAGAAUAUUUGGGUCUAUUGAAGGGGACAAUAUAGGGAAUAUUUGUCCCAUAUGCUCAAAAUGUUCAAUUAACAAAGUGUUCUGUAUGUUUAGGGAUUUGUUAGCUUUAAUUACACAAAACAUUAGCAGUUUUAGAGAAAAUUAAUUUUUUUUUGCAAUCUUAGGUUCCAUGAAAUUAAAAAGCCAAUAACAAGUCAAUAUGGCUUGAGACCCAGUCAUCAUAUUCAAAGUCAUCCAACUUAGAAGCAUUCAUUUUGCCACUAACAUGUGCUAAUUUCCAUUUUCUAUCUUUCAAGAGAAAAAGACUGCUCUUAACCAUGGCAAAUAAUUGAACCCAUUAAGAAGAUUGAGGAAAGUAUCAUAUGAGGGUUGUCAUUUUCCUCCAUGACAAAGAAAAAGCAACAGAGAAAAACUCAUAAUAUUAGAAAGAGAAUGAAAGAAAUUGAGUCAUAGAUACACACAGAAGAAUCCAAAAAUAAAGCAAUAAUACAACCACAAAUAUGAGAAGAAGCUCAAUUACAAAGAAAGGAACUCAAUACAAUCAACUAAAAAGCGUUCCGAAGUUCAUACGAAAAUAUUCAUAAUGUGAAGAUCAUUUCAUGAUUCCUACAAUUUCUUCCUUCUACCAGUCCACUCCAUACAAGGUUUGAUCAACAACUUCUUCAUUGAUUUUCUGGUCUCUCUCCGGUGUAUCAUAGAGCAUUUUUGACAUGUUUCUGCAAGAUACACUUGUUAACUUUAAGCGACAUAAGUGCAAAAAAAUAAGAUCAUGUUGUAUUGCCUGUGCUUCCACUCUGCCUUGUUUAGUACUAUUAUGGAGCAGUACUUCCAUAUAGAACCAGUGAUCUCCAGUUCAUUAUGUUGCCUUCUUUAAACUAACUUUAAUUAUCUAUACAUAUAAAACAAAGUGGUCCCAUCAAGGGGCUAAAUCAAGAAUCAAGUGGGGCGAACAGGAAACAGUGGCAUCAAUUUUUAAGUCCAUAAGCUUUAAUAAAAGGAAUAAAACCAAGGAUAUGAAUAUGUUAUUUUUUCAUUUGUUCAUGCACUGGAAGAUCUUUCCUCUUCAAGCAUUGAACCAGCAUCCUUCUGUGCAAGUUGCUGUCGGAACCUUCUAUAAUUGUCAGAAGUCUGUUUCUGAAAUAUACAGAUAAAACUUUUAGCAAGUCUUGACAUUGCUCAUCACUAGGACAUUGUACUAGGAUACCAAUUCAUCUAAUUAGGGUUAAGUUGGCAUCUCGUACACUAUUUUUUAUUUUUCCUUCAUCUUUUGUUCCCAUUUGCAGUGGAAGUGGCACUUAGAAUAUCUGAUCAUGAAGAAUUAGCUUUCGGUGAGAUGAUACUAGGUCAAUUGCCAUUAUCUUUUUGAGUUACUGUGCGAGCAAUCUUGAAAAUAUUUUGGGAUAAAUAGAAUUUGUGCUUAUCAUAAACAUGCUAAACAUCCAAAUCAAGUGCUUUUACUAUUGAUAUCAAAUCAGUAAUUGAUUUUAACCUUUAUGCUUAUCUUUCAGAUUCUCAAUUAUGUAUCUUGAAUAAUGAUAUUAAGCAGAAAUCAUGAAUUGAAUUGCUUUAAUUAACUGUGCCUUAUCAAGCUUGUCAGCAGUGCUAUUGCUACCGCGAAUCAAAUUCGCUGUGCUUCCCGCCUUCUCCAAAUAAGCCACAAGCCCAAUUAUAUCCGCCCUCCUCCCAUCUCCAAGGGAUCAAAAAAUAAAAUGACUUCAAUCAAUUUUCAAGUUUUCCAUCUUGAUCAGUAGACCACCCGGCAUGAAUGUUACCCUCAGUUUAGGAAUAGGAAUUCCUUUUACUAAUCAUUUGGCACUAAAAACUAUGACCCCUAGCAAUUCAUUCCCUCCAUUAGAUAUCUGGGGGCAUCUUGGCUCAGCCAAAAAUGAUAAGUCAUUGCAUUUCACAUUGCAUUCAUUUGUAUUAAUGAGCUAAUUUUUUUUCACAGAAUGUGAUGUGAAUCGAAUUACUUCCAACCAUGUGUCUCUAUAAGGGUUUAACAAAUGUAAUUUGCAUUGUCUGUACACUUUUUUUUCGGUUUCUUUUCUUUUUUAUGCAUGAUUCAUUAGUCCACGGAUCUUCUAUGCAAAGUGUGCAGGCCAAACACCUCCUUCAAUGCAUUAUUCUAGAAGUUAAGACUCAGUUUACUCCUUAAUUGAUCUGUUCCAUUUACUUCAAAUCAUUUGAUUACAUUAAAUGAAUCUUGAAAUUCAAAAAUGCAUCAAAGUUAAAAGACCUUCCAAUGCAUUAAGAAAUCAUCUGAUACAAAUAUAUGUGAACCUGCAACAACAAUAAUGUCAAAAUGGAAAACUUAGGUAGAAAAUAUUAGAACGGAAACUUACGACGAACUCAAUUUUUGGCGCCUUUCUUCUUCUCAUCUUCUGAUCCAAGAAGCUCUUCCAACACCGUGUCAUCCAAACACUCGAACUCAAUGACUUGCUUUUCUUGCCCAGAAGAGGAACCUCCCAUCUCUAAACUCCUACAAGGCCCAGAAGAUGACGAGGAAGACGAUGAGGAUGGUGAUGGUGGGGGGCGAUGGGAGCCCAUGAUUUCAGAAUAGUACUCAUUAGGAAAGUUAAGAAUGGCAAGAUGACCCCUUAAGUUAAAGGCCGCUCGAUCAUAGGCGCGAGCUGCAUCCUCCGCCCUGUCAAAUGUGCCUAGCCAUAGACGAGCACCUUGCCUAGACGGAUCCCUAAUCUCGGCUGCAAACUUCCCCCAUGGCCUCCUCCUCACCCCUCGGUAUCGAACUUCUUCCUUUUCCUUCCCUUCCUGCUCCUGCUUCUCAUUCCCUUUCGAAUGAUCUUCCAUGCUAAACGUGUCGAUUUGCUAGGCGCAAUUUUUUUGGUUUCAAAUGUGCUGGUUUACGAGAGGCAUGGAUGCUUAUGUAUAUAUAUGGUUGCCACAGUCAGGUCUGACGUCACCGCUCAAUGUAUGUUCCACAGCGUGGGUUGACGAGCUUUCUGAGGGGGUUUCCUCGAAUUCAAAGCAAGUAUAAAAAUUCGAUUCUCCGACCUUUCCAAUGAGGAUCGAACAGGCCUUUUAUUAGAACCGUAUGAUAACUCCACACUGUUUUCAAAUAGUCAAUGUGAUCUAGAUUCUUCGUUAAUUUUUUCCACCUGACUGAUUGUUUACAAUUUUAUUUUUCACCGUCCCAAAUUUAAACCAUUUACGCGAUUCCCUGGAUUGCAUUUUUCUUUAAUGUUGACUUUACGAGGCAAUAGGACCCCCCAGCAACCCCACUAGGGCGACUUCAUGGGAACCAGAUUACUUUUGGAUCCAGAUAUGGUCCAGAAGAAAUAAGACAAAUCAAUUAAUGUCCACUAAAGUUUUGAUGGAACCCUUAGUCCGUGUUUCCUGUGGAUGUAUGUAUUGUAUGCACCUCAAUUUUCACCAAUCCCUGCUACGAGUCCCUUUAAUUUUGACGUUAUAAAUGUUUUUCCUGACAUUAGCAGAGUGUUUUUCUGCCGUCUUUGAGGACCUUCCACGGCCCAUAAACUAAUAAGGAUCGUCCAGUGAAUUUAGUCUUCCCCAGUUAAUUAUCCUGCGAGGGAAACUUGGGCAGUAAGUUGCCUACAUGAGUGGCUCCCGCCUACAUGAGUCAAGGGACCAUACGUCAGGACGACAACCAGUGUGGUCACACCAAAGUGGGUUGCCUGGACUCCAGGGUGGUCGCUUCAAAGUUGUCAAAUGAAGGCUAGCUUGGCAAGUUUUGGAAAACAAUUAUUGAAAAACAUUUUUCAUGAAUAACAGUUUCUAUGAACAGAUUUUAAGAAAGUUUAUUUUGUGAUUUUUAGGAAUAUUUUUAAUUUAAAUUUUUAUAUUUUUAAUUUUUUAUUAAUUUAUUGAUUAUUUAAUAUUAGCUUAAUUAAUGGAUUUUUCUUGGUCCCAAAUUAUUAAUUUAUCAAGAUUUAAUCGCAUCCAUAAUUAGUCUAAUUUCUUUUGGAGUGAGUGUGACAAAGUGCAAAUUUCUAGAGUUUUAUUAAUGUUAUUCAAUGUCAUAAUUUAACUAAUUAUAUUAAUUAUUUAUUAAUCAAAAUAAAUCAUUCACUUGAAAUAUGAUAAUUUAAAUUAAAAGUUUCAAUUAUUUAUUAAUUAGCAAAGUAUGAACUUUUCUUCUUGUUUUAUUAUUGUUAUUCCAUGUAUAUAAUUUAAUUAACUGUUUCCAAUAUUAAUCAAUAAAAAUAGAAUAUAAGCAUGAGAAGAAUUAGUAAAAUUCAUUGAUUUGGAAUUAGAUAGCUAGAGGAAGAACUUCAUCAUCUUCCCAUUACUUAAAUUUGUAUAAAUUCUAAAUAUUUAAACCCCCCCCCCCCCCCCCCCCCCCAAAAAAAAAAAAAAUGGUAAAGAAAGACUCCCCAAGCUUUCUUGGUUGGUGUUACCCUAAAAUUUGUACAAUAAGAUGAACCAUUUGGCUUAAAGCUUGGUGCGAAACCCCUUAUCAAUUGAAAAUAUCAAUGAAGUUGUUGAAUGGUUUUAGAGGACUAUUCUUAUGCAGAGUGGCAUAAGAAGCGAGGAGAUGAAGAGCGGAGAGACGUUAACAUCGGAUGCUGCUACGAAGGUGGGAAUACGGUUAAUUAAUUAGAUUUUGUGAUGGCUUUGAGUUUGAAGGAGUUAGUUUAAUGGGUAUUAUUAGUGAACUGAUAAUUGGAUUUGAUGUAAAGAAGGUUGGUCCAUUGGAUUAGCAAUUGGUUUGGCCUUUUGGGGGCCCCAUUUCCAAAUGCAUUGCCUUUUACAAGCAUUCAACAUCGCUGGACGUAACCAGGCUUGGUUCACCUAAAAGUAUCGCAUGGAUUGAAUUGACUAAGUUUUCAUUGUAGACUAGCCUUGAUUUUCCCUUGACCUGCCCACCAAAUCCUGAUGCCCACGCGAGGGAAUACCUCAAUUUUCUAAUAAUUUAUGCAGUUUCUCUUCAAAGCUCGUGUGAUCACUUGGGUCGGUAAAAUAAUGCAUUCCUCUACUUUUUCUCCCUUCCUAGAUGCAUGUUAUACCAUUAAUUCAAAUGUGAACAUGGGCUUGGCUUUGAAACUUGGUUCAAGGCCCAACAUGUUGACCCACAAUUGAGGUGUAAUUGAAUUUGUACACUUUUCGACUUUGAUACCAUUUGUCAUUACCAUUGACAUUGGGUCAUUGUUGAUUUUGAGUCCACAACUUUUAAGGUUGUUAUUACAAUUUUAAAUUGCGCCCACCCAAUUUAUAUGCAUUAUCCCUUAUAAAUACCGAUAACCUCUCUUUCUUCGAUAAUAUAAAAUGUCACAUAUAUUAUAUAUCUCAAUGUUUUCUUUUACUUUUUUUUUUUUUAUCGAUCGACAUUCUCUCUCAGAUGAUAUGAGAUGUCACAUAUAUUAUAUGUUUCAAUGUUUCUUUUACUUUUUCUCUUUUUCCUCAUGAUUGACAUUGUCUUUCUCAAAUGAUAUGAGUUGUCACAUAUAUUUUAUGUCUCAAUGUUUUCUUUAACUUUUUUUCUCUCUUCUUUAAUGAUCGACGUUCCUUUUCUCAGAUGAUAUGAAAUGUCAUAUAUAUUAUAUGGCUUAAUGUUUUCUUUUACUUAUUCUUUCUUUAUUAAUAAUCGACAUUUUAAGCAAUAUGUGAAUAUAAAGCAUUAAAAUUAUCUCCAUCGUUUUUGGAUGUGGUAUAAAUACACAAUUCUUAUUUUUGUUUUAAAUAUUUCUAUUGCUAUCUAUUGAAAUUUUAUGCAUGAAGCUACCAAGUUAAUUAUACAUAUAUCUUAAGAUUUUUUUUUUUUUUUUUUAUAGGAUAUAUUGUCCAUGAAUAUUUUCUGCAAUGGUAUCUUGUUUGAUUACUAUAAGAAAUAAUAUAUAUAUAUAUAUAUAUAUAUAUAUAUAUAUAUAUAUAUAUAUAUAUAUAUAUUAUAUUUCAAUGUUUCAUAUUUGCUUAAAAUAAAAAUUAUAUUUUAUCACAAUAUUUGGUAUUAAAAAAAAUGAAAUCUCUCUCAUUUAUUAUUACAAAAAAAUUAUAAUUUAUAAUUUUCUAAAUAAGUUUUAUUUAUUUGCUAACUAUAUUCAUGAUUAAAAGAUUUAAAAUUUAUAAAUAAAAAAUAUUAUGUCAUGUCAUUAAAUAAAUAAAAAUAUAUGUAUAUAUUAAAAUUAUGUUUUAUUGUAGCUUUUAAUAUUUUUUUUUUUAUUCUUUUCUUUUUUGAACUACAAUUUUAAUUUUUUUUAAUCAAAAUUUUUUAAUUUACAAAACGAGUAACAUAAAACUUGCCUUUGAACUUUAUUGGAAUGUUAUAUACUACCAUUUGGCUUUCAAGACAUUAGAAAAGGCAUAAGUGUCCCUUUUAUUUUUCCGAAAGGCAUAUUAGACUAUAGUAGGAAGUGUUGUAUAGAGGCAACUAAAAGUUGCCUUUAACUUUAUGAAGUCAUAUACUCCUCUUUGGCUUUGAUGACAUCAACUAGCAAAUUGGAUUUUGUUUCCUUUGCAACAUUUUUCCAUCCAUUAGCCAGUUUUUUUAUACUGUUUGGUGCUUGCCAACAUGGCACACACUAUGGUUCUUAAAAAGUAUUUUUUUUUUUAAGAUACUACGAAAUAAAAUACACGAUUGAAAGAUGAGUCACAAUAAUUUUCAAAACUAAAUUUUUUAAUAUUGUUAAGAAAAUUUGACCACCAAAUGAUUGAUUUUAAAUUACAAAUACUUUUGUUAGCUAAGAAAUUUGUUGUUCUAUUUGUUUCCCUAUAAAUAUGACAACAAUCAUAAAUAUUUUCAUUUUAAGAUAAUUUUCAAAUAUCUUCCAUUAAUAAUAUAAUAGAAUUAGGAAUUUUUUUUUUAGUUAUAACAAUCUAUAAUUAUUUAAGAGUCUUCCUCAAUCUCUAGGUUUAAGAACUUAUUGUUCUUAACAACUAACAUGUCAUCUCUUAAAAUAAUACAUUCUGCAAUAAUUAUUGAAAUAUGAUAUAAUAUAUAUAUCUACUUACAACCAUUUUUGUAGUACCAUUAGAAUUUUUAAUUACCCAUUCUAAAGUAUUUUUAUUCUCUAUUCUUAAACCAUCAAAAUUUAAUUUAAAUCUUUCAUUAAUUGGAUAAAUCCAAUGAAUCUAACAAGUUAAAGGAUUAUGAAUCCGACAAAACAGUUGAUAAUAAAUUAAUAAUGCCAUUAAUAUGAUUUUAAUGUGAAACACAAUUAUCACAUUUAAUACAGUUAGUCCUUGUAUGAUUAAUGUUUUGGAAGCUAAAAUCAAUCUUUUGACUAUAAUAAGAGUUUCUACUAUUUCUAUUUUUGGAUGAUUUUAUAUUUUUCUUAUUGUUUUAGUUUAAUACAAAAAAUAAAAAUAAAAUUACAUUAGUAGAAUUUUUUUAACUUACUCAAAAACCUAUUUUAGUUGAAUGAUUUUUUUAAAAAAAAUAUAAAUAUUUUGUUAAAAGGGAUAAAAUAACCUUACCUUGUGAAAAAGACCUCUUCACCCAAGAUUACUUGUUCAUAAUCCUUUUAAGACGAAAAUGCCCCCUUCCUAAAAAAUAUUUCAUCUUAAACUUAUUUUUCUUUUUAUUGCCCUUUGUUCCAUCCUUCCGGCUUGGGAGAGAAAUUCAUUCUUCUUUUGCGAAGAAAAAUUCCUAUUGCGAUUUUUCAUUUCAAGUGGAAAAAAAAAUUCUUAUUUCAUUUUAAAGAAAUUGUACAUUUUCAAUCUUUCUCUUUGUUCCUAGUUGAGGGUUUUUUUUGUAAUUUUAUCUUAACACUACAAAUUUAAAGGUGAGAUUAAAUCUUAAUGGUUAUUAGUUAAAUCACAUAUCUAACUUUGUUUUUGUCAGGACCUAUAAUAUGAUUGGAACCACCAUCCAAACUUCAUUAGGUGGGAUACUCCCCACCCUCCCCCUCCCCCCGCGAAAUCCUUGGAUUUUAGUUUUGACUUGGAUUUCAAUUGCCCGUAUCAAUUUUUCUUUAUUUAUUAAUUUAUUAAUUUUCAACUUUAACAAAAGCCUUGAAUCAUAUUUAAAUUCAAAUAACUUAAUCCUAAUUAAGUUCUUUUUAAAUAAAAAUUAAUCAUUGAAAAGUUCAUGUGACUAUUAUAAUUGAGAAUUUAUCCCAAGUUGGGUUUUUUGCAAAUAAAAUUUUAUUAUAGGACAUCAUGAUGCAACAUAACAUAAGGUUGUUACUUAAGUUUGUUUUGACCUUGUAAUAUGUUAAAAUGAAAAUGAAGCCAUUGUAACAGGAGAGAAUGAUGAAGCUGUGGAGAGAGCUUAACAAAGCUUGGGUUGGAGAGACUUCACAGGAAGAGAGAGAGAGAAAUAAAGGGUAAAAUUAUCAAAAGAGAAAAGAAAAAAAAAAAAAAAAAAGAAGGUUAUGUCUUCAAAUAAUCAAUAAGAGAUGUCAUUUUUCUAAUUUUCAAAGUUCUUUUGGUCCUUCUCUACAAAUAUCCCUAUAAAAAUAUUAUAAUAUCAAGUUAAUUUGUCAAUACCAAAAUUUAUAUUUUAUAUUAGGGCGACUAAAUAACAUAUAGAAAGAAUUUUAAAUGAGUAAAUCAAAUCAAUUUUGAAACCAAAACUUAAUAAUUACCAAACUUGUAAUCUUAGUCAUUAAAAGUGUACGAUGAAAUCUAAAUUAUUAAGCAAUGAAACAAAAAAUUAAGAUUAAAAUACAAAACGUUAAAAUCAAGAUACAAACUAUUAAAAUGUAAGUGGGAUAUGAGAUGAUAUUAUAAAAAAUAGUGUGAUCCAACAAAAAGUCUAGUACAUCAUUAUCUUCACUUCCAACCAUGUUUAAAAGGUCACAAGUUCUAGCGGUUUCCAAGGACAAUGUUAAAAAUAAUAAAAAUAAAUCCAAUUAAAUAUUAAUUAAUUUAUUUGAAUUUGAGUCCGACAAAAUAGUUGGUAAUAAGUUAAUAAUGCCAUUAAUAUGAUUUUAAUGUGAAACACAAUUAUCACAUUUAAUACCCGUUAGUCCUUGUAUGAUUAACUUUUUAGAAAUUAAUAUCAAUCUUUUGAUUAUAAUAAGAGUUUCUACUAUUUAUAUUUUUGGAUGAUUUUAUAUUUUUCUUAUUGUUUUAGUUUAAUACAAAAAAAUAAAAAUAAAAUUACAUUAGUAGAAUUUUUUUUAACUUAUUCAAAAAACCUAUUGUAAGGUGAAUGGUUUUUUUAUUUUUUUUUUAAAUAUAAAUAUUUUCUUAAAAGGGAUAAAAUAACCUUACCUUGUGAAAAAAGGCCUCUUCACCCAAAUUUACUUGUGCAUAAUCCUUUUCAGACGAAAAUGCCCCCUUCCUAAAAAAUAUUUCAUCUUAAACUUAUUUUUCAUUUUUAUAACCCUUUGUUCCAUCCUUAUGAUUUGGGAGAGGAAGUCAUUCUUCUCUUGUGAAGAAAAAAUUCCUACUGCCAUUUUUCAUUUCAAGUGAAGAAAAAUAUUUAUAUUUCAUUUUAAACAAAUUGUACAUUUUCAAUCUCUCUUUGUUCCUAGUUGAGGUUUUUUUUUUUUUUUUUUUUUUUUGUAAUUUUAUCUUAAUUGUACAAAUUCGAAGAUGAGAUUAAAUCUAUAAUGGUUAUUGGUUAAAUCACUUAUCUAACUUUGUUCUUGACAGAUCGUAUAAUAUGAUUGGAACCACCAUCCUAACUUUAUUAGGUGGGAUCCCUUUUUUUUUUUCCCCAAACCCUUGGAUUUUAGUUUUGACUUAUAUUUCAAUUGUCUGUAUCACUUUUUCUUUAUUUAUUAAUUUUCAACAAGUUCUUUAACAAAAGCCUUGAAUCAUAUUUAAAUUCAAAUAACUUAAUCCCCAUUAAGUUCUUUUUAAAUGAAACUUAAUCAUGUGAAAGUUCAUGUGACUAUUAUAAUUGAGAAUUUAUUCUUAGUUGGGUUUUUUGUAAAUAAAAUUUAGUUAUAGGACUGUGAUGAUCCGUUCUCAACCGUAUAAAUAUUGUUCGUUUUGAAUUCAAAAUAACUUUUACGGCUUUAAAACAUGUUUACAAGAUUAAGAGGAGUCCAUAUUUAUAUAGCUUCACGAACUUUCCCCCCUAUUCGAUGUGGGAUGUCACAAGGACAUCAUGAUGCAACGUAUAACAUAAGAUUGUUUCUUAAGUUUGUCUAACCUUGUAAUGUGUUAAAAUGAAGAUGAAGCCAUUAUAACAGAAGAGAAUGAUGAAGUUGUAGAGAGAGCUUAACAAAGCUUGGGUUGGAGAGACUUCAUAGGAAGAGAGAGAGAGAGAGAGAGAGAAAUAAAGGGUAAAAUUAUCAAAAAAGAAAAAAGAAAAAAAAGAGGGUGAUGUCUCCAAAUAAUCAAUAAGAGAUGUCAUUUUUCUAAUUUCAAAGUUCUUCUGGCCCUUCUCUACAAAUAUCCCUAUAAAAACAUUAUAAUAUCAAGUUAAUUUGUUGAUACCAAAAUUUAUAUAUUAUAUUAGGAUGACUAAAUAACAUAUAGAAAGAAUUUUAAAUGAGUAAAUCAAAUCAAUUUUGAAAUCAAAACUUAAUACCUACCAAACUUGUAAUCUUAGUCAUUUAAAGUGUUCCAUGAAAUCUAAAUUAUUAAGCAGUGAAACAAAAAAUAUAAGAUUAAAAUACAAAACGUUGAAAUCAAGAUUCAAACUAUUAAAACGUAAGUGGAGACGUAAGAUGAUGUCAUAAAAAAUAGUGGGAUCCAACAAAAAGUCUAUUAAUCAUUAUCUUCACUUCCAAUCAUGUUUAAAAGGUCACAAGUUCUAGCGGCUUUCAAGGACGAUGUUAAAAAUAAUAAAAAUAAAUCCAAUUAAAUAUUAAUUAAUUUAUUUGAACAAUAGAUAGGACCAAAAUAAUAUUCUAAAAGGAAUCAUAGGGAAGUCCUUGGACAACCUACGACAUUGAACAAAGGUACAGUGAGACAAUGCACUUAGCCCUUCCUUGUCAUUGCGAUGAAUAUAAAAAGACACCCUGAUUGAGGGUGCCCCACUAAGCCAAGAGUGAUUCUUUUGUAUUGUAUAACGUGAAUAUUUUUGAACUUUGAAUGACCCUUCCUAUAGUCAUCAUUGUCAAAACUAGAAAAUCAGAAAGAUGCGAUGUACGAAGGCACCAUUGAAUAAGAGGCUUAAUUCUCUUUGGCAAUUAGGAUAAAGUUUCAAAAUAGAAAAAUUAAACAAAUGUACAGUGUACGGACACUUGGGCAUUGCCUAUUUGUUUUGUUCUUCUAGAGUUGUAUAUGGUAAAGGUCAUAUUGGGUUGGUUCUAUUUGGUUAUUGAAGUCGGCUAGAAUAUUAGAUUUGGUUUCAAUCUAAUCCCAUAUGAUAUUAGAAUACCAGCCCAUACAGAAUUUUUGACCAAAUAUAAUAUUUCUUUUAAAUAUAAAUAUAGUAAUUAAUUUUAGUCUAAGAUUAAUUAUGUAGUUUCCUAAAGAGACCACUUCCUAAACGGUAGCUAUGUGGAAGUUGGGCCAGGUCCUGCCGAGAAGGUUUCCACGAGCUGAGCCCAAAACUGAGUAGCUGUGAUGGGAUCAUUCUAGCAUUCAGCCUGAAACUUGUAACAUAACGGAUCGAGAGGCCUGAACUCCAAGACCAUGGUUCGUCAGCCCAUUAACUUCAACAGCACGCAUUUUAGAGGACUGGGCUUGCAAGGGGUGAGGUUUCCGGGCCGCGACCCCAAAUAUGAACAGCCUCAGAAGUGAUAUUGCUUACUGGCACGUGAAGAGCGCAAGCGUAACUAGAAGAUUUGUAAUGCCGCUUUAAUUGUUUGAUUAUAGAAUCCCACGCAUUACGCAUGGAAAGUGUAAAAGAUAAAAGAUGUAGAAUUUUUUCUUAGAGAAAAGUUCGUUUGGAUAUAGUUAUUGUUUUUUUUUUAAAUAAUAAUUGUUUUUUUUAUAAAUUAUAGAUAAUCUUAGAAAUUUAUCUUUAAAAAAAUAGUUUUUAAAAAUAUUUAAGGAGAAUAAAAGUGAUAAAAAAAAACUUUACAAUUUCAAAUUUUUAAAAAAUGAAAAUUAUUUUUAAGAAUAUAAGUUAAUCUCCUGCAUUUAAAUCUUAGGUGGUUUUUGUUUUUUUUACUUUUCGCUGAAAACAAUUUGUUUUCAAAAUUUAGGUCAUUUGUUUUUUCUAUUUUUUCAUGAUUUAUUAUAAAUUUUUUACUAAAUAAAAAAAAUCAAAAUAUGUAACUUUUUCUAAAUAAAAAAAAUAACGUAUUGAUUUUUCUUUACUUUUUAAUACUUAAUAGAUAUAAAAUACUACAAAAACAAAAAAUCUAAUAUUUAACACUAUUAAGCAUUAAAGUUCUAUUUAGAAUUAAGUAAAAAAACAAACACCACCUUAUAUUUUAUAUAAAAGUUACUUAUAUUUUGGUUUUUGGAAAUAAAAAAUAUAAAGCAUAUCCAAACAUGAGCUUAGCUAUUUUAAAUCAUAUCAAAAUAAUAAUCCCAAUAAGGUAAAUGGACUUUUAUACGGAGAAUAAUCUUUAAGGUUUUCAUUUUUAUUGGAUUUUUUUUUUGUGGUGUUUUUUCAAUCCAUCUUCUCAAUUAAUUCCUUAAAAUUAUUUUACUGUUUUUUUUUUUUUCAGUUUCUAAAUAUUUGAUUUUUCCAAAAUGCUUAAAUGGAAGACACUAAUUUUUCAAGAUAUUUGGUAUUACAAUUUUCCCUGUUCUCCCUAUUAUCUAUCAGAUUCAUGGCCCUUUUGUUUUUUCAUUGGUUUUCAAUUUAAUUUUCCAAAUAUUACAUUGUUGUGUUUUGAAUUUGUGAAACCAAUUUUAUAUAUAUAUAUAGUAUGUAAGUCUACUUUGGGUAACAUGUACAGAGAGGUUUUCAUGUGUUUGAAACCUUUUACCUCAAAAAUUAAUUAUUUUUAAUUUUAUAAUAAAUCUUUUUUUAUUUUUUAUUUUAUUUAGGAAAGCCUAUAUUUAAACUACAUGUUUGCAACGCAACACCAUACAUACUCCUAGUGGAACUUACCUUAGUGCUUGAGGGGGAUGCAGAUCUUCUUCUAAACCUAACUAAUAAGCAUAAAAUUGUUCACUAAUUAGCAUAUCUAGUAAAUCAUACAAAUUGGCAAUAUUUCAUGUUUUUCAUGUUUUGUCAAUAAAAGGCGUCUUGACCAUUUUGUGAGUUUUGUAAUAAAUAAAAAAAAAAAAAAAAAAAGGGCAAAAGGUGACUAAAAUGAGGCACUUUGGAAAGGUUAAUAACCUAAAAGGAAGAUGAAUUAAUACCCCCUUAUUCCUCUUCAAAAACCAUUGAGAAAAUGCAAGAAAUGCUCUUAGUUGUAUGCUAGGCUAACAGCCUAGCAACCAUAAUACCCUUCUUUGCAAUUGUAAGCAUUUUUUUUUUUUUUUUGAAGGCCAAACAACGUUGCAAACUUCCCAAAUCCCUUCUUUAUUUUUUAUUUUUUUAUUUUUGUUUUUAGAAGGAGAAUGAAUUUGAUGACAAACUCCUUGUCAAUCUUAUCCAAACCACGAUCGAACAGAACUCCUUGUCAAUCUUAUCCAAACCGUGUUCCACCUCAAAAACAUGUGUAGGACUUAAGGCAGCAACUGGCAAGCAUGACUGAUAGGGCCAAGUGCCCUUGUCUCUACAAUCCAUUAAGUUAACCAAGGGCAGUGAACCAUCAUUCUUUUCAAAAGCUUCAUUCCGUGUUGAAAAUGUGAGACUGAAGCAUGGUGCCCCCAAAAAUAACGAUCUAUUUACUAGCAGCAUGCCUGGACCCAUUAAAAAUACUCUACUUUAGGAAUAGAAAAAAUUACAUCUUUAUCCAAUAAUUUUAUAACAAUUCAGACGUUUCAGUCUAUAAAUAAUUGUACAUAGUUGCCAACGUUUAGCUAGUUUCAAAUGAAUAGCCUAGGUUCAUGCACCAGUUUGGCUGGUGGAGGAAAGGGAUUCGAGACAUUGAACCCUCUUUUUAGUGUGCCAAAUAUUCCACAAAAAUCACUACCUUCUCUUUGUGUUUGUUCACUUUUAGUUUAUAUUUAAUAAAUCUAUGUUUUCGAGUAGAGGUUGGGUUCAGGUGCGACCCACGUCACCUCUCGGACGGUCUUGAAAAAGGAGACCGGACCACGUAAUUUCAAAUGUAGUGACCAUCUCACUUUUACCUCCAUCCUUGAAGAUGGUUUCCCAAAUCAAUAUUAAUCUUUUGUUUACGACAAUAUCGAUCACUUUAUGUCUAUAUCGUUGUUAAUUUACCUUUUUUUUUUAGCCACAUUAUUUGAAAAUUGAUGCAAACUUUACCAACAUCUUGGUACCAUUUUAAAAUAUUAGAGUUAUUUGAUUAAAAAAAUAAAAUAAUCUCGAUAACUUGUUUAUAAAAUAAAUAUCUUUUAACAUUUAGACUAUUCUCACGCAUGCUUUAAAAUUGUAAAGAUAUUCAUAAAGUGGAACUUUAGACUUAAUCAAUAUCGAUCACUUUAUGUCUCUAUUGUUGUUAUAUUUUUUUUUUACAACAUUAUUUGAAAAUUGAUGCAAACUUUACCAACAUCCUAAUACCAUUUUAAAAUAUUAGAGUUAUUUGAUUAAAAAAAUAAAAUAAUCCCGACAACUUGUUUAUAAAAUAAAUAUCUUUUAAUAUUUAGACUAUUUUCACCAUGCUUUAAAAUCAUAAAGAUAUUUAUAUUCAUAAAGUGGAACUUUAGACUUAAACAUGAUAAUAGUUUUUUUACAAUAUUAUAAUUAUUUUAUCGUUUUAAUUAAGCCCUUUAUCAUACAUAUAAAUGUAAAUUAAUGCUAAAUUUUUAAAGCAACGUAUAACCUUUUACAUCUUUUUUUAAGAUGGUGCGAAAAUCCUAUGAAAAAUAAUAAAAGUCGAUGCAUAAGAAGAUUGUUUUGAUAAUUCAAUAGAAAAAUUCUUUUAAAAUGAUAUUAAAAAAUACCCAUAGAGCCUUUAUUAAAAAAAUCAAUUAUUUUCAUAAUAAAAAUUAUAAUUUUUUAUUAUGUAUUAUUAUUUUUAAGUAUCUUUAUUACAAAUACUUUUUUUGAGUUUAUGAGAGGAAUCAACAGGUUGGUACAAGCUUAGGCGUCCUCGUACAUGUUCCCGCUGUGCAAGGUUUUUGUCUUGUUUCGAGCUAGUCGGAAUUUACGUGUUUGAUAACGUUUUGUCCUAUUUUUGUAACGCUUUAAAGGGCGGCCCACCGUUGGAACAGUUCAAGCCAUCCAAAUCAGCCCGGAGGGUUAUGGCGACGUGGCAUGACGCCUACCACCUUAGUUCACAUGAACCCUAUGAUCGUACUACCCUCACAUGACAUCUGUGAUUCUUCACCUCCAAACCCUCUUUAACUUGGUAAUGUAUUCAAAGCUUCAUCAAAUCAUAGCGAUUAGCGACCCUCUUCCACCCUAAUUUUAUAAUAAAAAAUAAAUCUUAGUGGACAUUAAAGUAGUAUUUUGUGGGGGGAAAGAAAAACUCUAUGGGCGUAUCCACUAAAUACGAGCCAAGUAUAAGAGUUAUCACCAUGGAAUCAAAUUAUGAAGCAUUGACAUUUUAAUUGUAUUCAGAUUUGAGGAGGGCACCGCGGCACCAGCUGGCCCAGUGUAGUCUGCUAGCCUACCCGCCAUAAUGACCAAAUUAAUAAAGUAAAAAGGAUUACAGGGAUAUUCCCAACUUUAUUCUGGGUCUGAGCUGGAACUUGGGAGUUAUCACGAUCAACGGGAAAGAUGGUGGGUAGGGGACGAGGAUUGAGGGCUCCAUAUUCACAUCAGUGAAAAACGAAAUGUAUUGAGACAAGUCUUCUAAGGAUUUUCUAGCGUAUUAUAUGGUUUAAAUGAUUAUAAAUCUGUAGUUACUGGUAAAGAGUAGAGAGUGAAGACGAAAGACGUUGAGUGAAAAGGAAGGAGGAGAGGGGAUGGGGCCAUCUUACCGUGUCGGGGAGGAUCCAUAAAAGGACUACGUUCCCUGAAUCUGUAGGCAUCAUGCCUCGCCUAACGGGUUAGUCAAAAUACAGUGAUGUGUGUGAGUUGGGGGCCUCACUCCUCAUUUCUUUCCUUCUUUUCACCCCCACCCCCACUUUUUUUUUUUUUUUUUCGAAUUUUUCUUUGUCCUUUUCUCUCACUUGCGCACGCGGGAGAAGGACCACAAACUAGACAAUUCCUCUGCUCACGUGACCCCGAGUUUUUAAAUAUUUGCCUAUUUGGAAAAUAGUCAUGAAUCAUGAUCGUUAACAAACAAUCUUCACUUUAUUUAUUUAAGAUCUAUUUUUUGGAGCUCUAGUUUAGUUUAUUAUUAUUAUUAUUAUUAUUAUUAUUAUUAUUAUUAUUAUUUAGUAACUCCUCUUAUAUUAAUGAAAAAGAGAGGAGGAAUCCAAACUUGUUUAUUCUUCCUCUUUUAAGGUGUUUGUUUUUUUUAUUUUAUUUUUAUGCUUCAUAUGUCUUCAAUUUCUUAGCAUUUGUCUUAUAUUUCUUCUUAUCCGAUUCAUUAUUGCAUCCUUGGUCAAUCUUUCACGAGGAGUGCCUACUUUUUUCCUUUUUAUUAUUUAAUUCACUUUAUCUUUAUAUUUUCCUUUUACACUUUAUUUCCAAUUCAAAACGUGUCAAAAAAAAAAAUUGGUAACAAAAAAAAAAAAAAAAAUCAAUUGUAAUGAUUCUUAUAUAAUUUUAUUUAAUUUUUAUUAAACAAUAAAGAAAUUAAAAAUAUAUAAAUUUUUAAAUAAUUAUUAUAGUCUUUCAUUUUUGUGUAUAAUUUCUUUUGCAAGAAAUAGUGUAGGCUUUCCACGGUCUAAAGGAAAUGGAAUAUCAAAUGAGAAGGUAAUAAUAAUAAAGUGAGUUAUAGAUACUAAUCAAACUAAUCCACUAAUGAAUUAUUUAUUUUUAUUUCACAUGGACAAAUCCUAAAAGUUGGAGUUCUAAUUUACUUUUAUGUUAAGCUUUUUUAAGUAAAAAUCUUUUAUUAUUAUAAUUUAUAGACAAAAAGAAACCCAUUAAUGUGAUGGAUAAAAAAUUUCAAUUUAAAAAAAAAAAAAUUAAAGUUGCUAAAUUUUUGUAUUUAUUAUUUCAAACUCAUUUAAAUAAUUUAAAAAUAUGUCUUCAAUUAAUUUUAAUGAAACAAAGCAUGAUUUUUUUUUAAUUUUUUUUUCUUUACCAAAUAAAGCAUUAUUAUAAUACGUUGAUUAAAUUUUCAUCAUGUCUCUCAAGAUUUGGAUUAAAUAUACUUAGUUGUCAUAAAUUUGAAAUUUUAUUUAAUGUAUUUUUUAUUUUAAAUUAAAAAGAUGAAUGCAAAUAAAAAAAAUAUGUAUAUUUUAUAAAAUUUUAAAUUAAACGAAGGAUACGUGUAUUUAACCAAGGUGAAUGAAAUUAAUCCAAAUACUUUUUGGUAACUUGCAAAAUAUCUUGACGAAAUCAUUAUGGCAGGCAUCGUACAAGCUCAACCCUUGUCGCCUUGCUAGAAAUAGAGAAACAAAAAGACCCCCAAAUUGGGUUGCAUCCUAAAUAUGAAGAAGUGGUAACAAAGGAAGAAAAAAUGCUGUGUUAUUGAAUAGUUAAUACAUUGAACAUGAUAUGUUACAUAGAGAGCCAGAUUAAUCCUAGUGGAAUUCCACUGUCACGAUGGUAACCUAGGGUUAUGUUUGGUUAUUGAAAAUACCAAGAAAAGAAAAAAAAAUAUAAAGGAAAAUAAUUUUUUCAUUUUUGAUUGUCUUAUAAAAGAUAUAAAAAAAAAACAAAUAUAAUUAAAACUAAUUAAAAAUUUAGGUAUUUUUAAAUUAUUUAAUUUUUAUAUUAAUGAGCGAAAAUAAAUAAAAUAAGUUUAAAAUAACAAAAAAAAUAAUUUACCGAUUUUUAAUCUAUAUUUUAUUUUACUUUUUCUUUGUAUUUUUUUUUUCUUAUAUUUUCCCUCAAAUUUUCUGAAUCAAACAUAGCAAAAAAGGAGCUACCCCUUUCGAAAGAAACUCCCAAGAAUUUCAAAGAAACCUGCUGAGAUAAUGAAUGAGGGAUCACUGUCGGUAAACAGUAUCCAUUCUUUUGGGAGGACUUUCAAACUGAGAAGUUGUUUUCAUGACUUGGAAACAAAAUUUUGAGCUCUAAGGGGGUCUGUAUUUGGGCCCUAAAAUUCAAUCCAUCAAUCUGAAAAAUGCUUAGGAUAAUGAUUUGAUUUAGCCACAAUCACUAAACAAAUUCCAGAGGAAAAUUUCGCUACUCAUAGGUGGCUGAUUCUCAUAAAAAGACAUCGUGGUAGGGUGUCUCAAGUGCAGGCUCACCAUCAACUUGCUGCCCUUUUUAGAUUAUUGUAAAAUGAUUUCACAUGAAGCCCAAUGCAAAACUUUGAAAGAAAAGGUUGGUGGAGACGUGAAGAAUAUGUAACCCAUAGGCCAUAACUAGUACCGAAGAUUAUUGAACAAACAUUCAAGGUUUUUGUAUAGACGAAACUGAAAAGAAUGUGUACCAGACUCAGGCGUUCAGAUCAGAUGAUGCCGUAAUGUGGAUUGUGGAGGAGCAUUGUGCAGACAGAUAAUGAGAUUCUGAAAGCGAGGCCACUGAUGGGCCCUUGGAAGGGGGGCGUGCCUUCAAAAUUAUAUAUAUAUAUAUAUAUAUGUCAUUGAAAAUUGGAAGCAACUUUUCUUCUUAAGUUAUUUUAAUCGAAGAAGAAACAAAAAGUUAAAAACAUACAUUAUUCUUCCUUCUUACGAGGUUUCCGGGUCUAAAUUACUAUGGUCUCUGCAACUGGCGUCGUUUUCUCUCCCCUCUCUCUAUUUUCCCUUUAUUUUUUCACUUUUAGAAAGAAGCAUCCCAUCAAGAAUCUACUACAACCCUACGCUUCCAUUUUGAUUUAGAAAGUUAAAAAUAAGUUUAAGUUAAAAAAAAAUAUUUUCUUAUAUAAUUAUUUAAACUUAUUUCUUUUCCUUUUUAUAUAAAGAAACAAAUAUUUUGCAAAUAAAUAAAUUUCUAAUUAUUUUCAUUAACAUAAUAAUAAUAUUUUUCAUAUGACUUUAAUCACAAUUUUUUUUACCACUUGUCCAAGGCGGUGAGAGGUGAUAAAAUGUAUUAAAAAAACGAUUAAAUUGCAUUAGGUAUAGAAGUUUUGUGCUUCAAUUAUCACUUAUAAAAAUAAAAUAAAAAUAGUCAAAUUUGAGUGUGCAAGUUGGUAUUCGUAUGUAGAAGGAAUUGGGGGAUUUGGGGGUCCUAACAAAUUUGAUAUGAUUGAUGGAAGGAAAUGAUUAUUAUAGGAUAAAGUCCGAAUGAAACGCUGACGAGGGGGGAAAAACAACAGUGGCAAUGCACUAUCCACAGAUCCAUGAUUGAUUUAUGUUAGCAAUAAUGAAUUAUUUUGACUUUGAUAACCUUGGUUAAGAGAAUUUGGUCUUGUUAUUAUCAUUUUUUCAAAAAAAAAAAGUGUAGGUAACUAGGUAGUUGAUUUAUUAGAAUUUAGAAAUGAGGAUCCCCUCCUCCUGCAAGAGCCGUGACAGACAUGCCUGCUUUCUUGCCAGAUUAUACCAAUGUGCCCAAAUAAUCCCCCAUCUAUCAUCUCUGCACCCUGGAACACGUCACUCCCUCCUUUGAGCAAUAAAAUAUCUCUUUUAUUUUCUUUUGAACCACUCUUCUAUUUCUUUGUACCAGACUGGACCCAUUUAAAUUCUUCGCUACGCUGUUCCCAAGGACUACGAGAAUCAAAAUAGCAAAAUUCUUGAAUCAUUUUAAUGGGUUCAGAAACCACAUGUUUCUCUAGAUCAUAAGAGGAAAAUCUUUUUGGAUGGUGUUUGUGUUGUGUUGUGUUCAAUAUUAAAUACUCAAUUAAAUAAGCUAAAUCAAAUAUCACAUGAAAAAUAAUCAAAUUAAAAAUAGGGAGAAUUAUGUUUUGAGGGUAGAUGGACCCCAAAUUAACAAAAGGUUCAUGUAACUCUUCAAAUUGAGCCCAGACCCAAUGAAAAUAUGGAAAUUGAGUUGAAGUAUAUCAUCAUUCAGUAUUUCCAAAAAUGUCCUUUGUUGAUUUUGAGAAAAAAAUUAAUAUUUUUGAAAAAUAUUUUUAUGUAAUUUAAUAUUUUUUUAAAUACUUUUAUUUAAUUUAAUAUUUUUAAAAAAUAAAUUUAUUUAAUUUAAUAUUUUAAAAAAUAUUUAAUUUAAUAUAUUUUUUAAAUACUUUAAUUUAAUUUAAUAUUUUUGAAAAAAAUUUUAAUUUAAUAUUUUUGAAAAAAAAAUUAUUUAAUUUAAUAUUUUUUAAAACUAUUUUUAUUUAAUUUAGUAUUUUUGAAAAAAAAUUAUUUAACUUAAUUUUAUAAAAUAUUUUAUAUGUGUUCUUAAAGGGUAUAUUUGUCCGUUACUAUUUCAUAUCCUUCAACUCAAUUUAAAGAGUUAUAUGGACCUUUUGUUAAUUUGGGGACCCAUCUACCCUCAAAAGAUAAUUCUCCCUUAAAAAUAUAAAUUUAAAUAUGACAUAAUUAUUAAAUAUGUUAGAUCUUGUAUGAGUUUAUAAGAUUUAUGUUUCAAAAUAACAUGUUUAUAAUUCAUCUAUUGAUUUAUAAUCAAAUUUUAAAUAAAUUAAAGUUAUUCAAGUUAAUAAAUAUGAUUUAUGUUAUAAAGACUAACUAAAAAAUAAUUUAUUAAUUAAACGGAUCCUGGUCAAUAAAAAUUUGAUUUAAAUACGAUCAUACUUAAUCAAAACUUAGGUCAAAUUGUAUUGAUAAAUUACAUCAAAACCUUGUUGUGUUCAAUAUUUUAUAUUAAACUAUUUUUUAAUAAAAUUAUUUUUAUAAAUAUAAUAUUACAUCAUUUGGAGAAACAAAAUAGUAUUAUAUUGAUUUUACAUAUAAAGCAACCAGUUAACCCCUCAUUAUUUUGAUCCAUUUCACAUCCAUAUCAUUCUCAUAAUUUUUUUAUAAUAUAUUAACAUGAUGGACGGUAAUUGAGGGUAGAAAAAAAAGAUGAGAAGAAUAAAAUAAUGUGAAUCCUCUCUAAAUGUUACAUCUUCUGACAAAUGAAGUCUAUAGAAAUGUGUAAAAAAAAAAAAAACACUUAAUUGUGAGGUUCACUUGAUUUAGCAAAAAAUUAAUAUUUUAUUUGUUGUGUGAUUUAAAAAUAAUAUUUUAUUUUUAAAAAUAAAAAAUUAUUUUUAAAGUUUUUUAACACUAUUUUACUAUUGUUCUUUGAAAUAAUUUUUAAAAUUAAAAUGAAAUAACUAAUAAUUUUUAGAUAAUAAAUUAAAGUUGUUUUUAUUAGAUUUUAAAAAUAAAAGAAAAAUAUAAAACCAUUUGAUCAAAUUUUUUUAAACUUAUUUUUAAAAGGUUUUUUUUUUUUUUUUUUUUUUUCUAUCCUAAGUUAAAAGAUAAAAAAUAAUUUUUAAAGAUAGGUUACGAGCAAAUGCCACAAACUUUUUUCUUCUCUUUCCCUUGUUCGGAUAGAAGUGAAAAAUAUCCUCCCAUGGAUCGACAUUACGUGAGCCAUCACCAUUCCCCAACUGCAAUUCAACCGCCAAAGCUGAGGUGUCAUUAUUAGUUUGAACAAAAGUCAGCAUUGUCCACGUGGUGACAAGCGGAACUGACCCAACUUGCAAGGCAAAAAAAUAAAUAAAAUAAAAUGAAAAAAUCAGAUCACCAUUAUGACGUCAGUCCAAUUGCUGACCUGGCCGCCGUCCCCCAUUUGACCCACGUGUUCAUUUAACCCAUUCGCCGUAUGCCGUGGCUCCCCACCCAUAUGGCCAUAUCUGCCAUUUAUUUUAUCCGUUGCCUCCAUUCGGUUUUUGGAUUUUACCCAUUCGCCCUCGUCUAUUCCCAUUUCCGUAUUUGCCCACCAAGGAAAUUCAAUUCCCAUGCUUUUGUUUUACAUUCAAAUCCUCCCCCCUCUAUAUAAAGGAGGGAGUAGGGCUUGAAAGUUUCUCAAGCCAACAUGGACUGUUGAGAGUGAAAGACAGAGGAGCCACAAACAAAUAUCACUCACUCAAACCAAAGCCAAAACCAAUACCGAAUUCAAUUCAAAUGACUUCUUUCUCUCUCAUCAAUUCCCUGAAUUCCGAUUCCGAUUUCAAUUUGUUAUCGGAUUCUUUUUCCUGGGAAAACUCCCUACCUUUCAAUGAAAACGACUCCCAGGAGAUGCUCCUCCUGGGCAUGCUGGCCAGCUCCACUCAGGAAACCUCAGAAACAGUUUCUUUGAAUCGAGUGAAGGAGGAAGAAGUGACUUCCCAGGAAAAUCCCGAGAAGGAGAAGUCAUACAGAGGCGUUAGGAGGCGGCCAUGGGGGAAAUUCGCAGCAGAAAUAAGGGACUCGACCAGGCAUGGCAUAAGGGUGUGGCUGGGAACAUUUGACAGUGCAGAGGCAGCUGCUCUGGCCUAUGAUCAAGCUGCUUUUGCGAUGCGGGGCCCUGCGGCAGUCCUCAAUUUCCCGGUGGAAAGAGUGAAGGAAUCGAUGCAGGAGAUCAAGUGCAUCUUGGAGGAGGGGGGCUCACCAGUGGUGGCCCUCAAGAAGAGGCACUCUAUGCGGAGAAAAAGUCCUUGCAAGAAACAUAAAAGUGAAGAGGUGAGGUUAGAAAAUGUGGUAGUGCUGGAGGAUUUGGGUACUGAAUACUUGGAACAGCUCCUCACUUUCUCUGAGACCUCUAGUCCUUGAUCAUCAUCAUCCAUCACCUGGAUAGCUUCUUCUCUUUGCUCUGUUUCUUACUUUUCUCUCUCUCUCUCUCUCUCUCUCUCUUUUUUUUUUAUGUAAUUUUUCUUAAUGUAUUUUUGGAGAUGGCGGGGGUGUAGUGGUGGCAAUUAUCCAUCUAGAAUUUUUCAAAAGAUAUGUUCUUUUGUUUCUUUGUAUAAAGUUGAAAAGUGGGGAUCAAUUGUGAUGGUGCUCUAUGUUCAUCCACCCAAUUUAUAUAAUCAAGGUGAUUAAUGUUUUUUGAUAUCAACAAUUUGUGAAUGACAUAGAGAGAGAGAGAGAGAGAGACCUUAUUUUCUACACUCAUUACGGUGGUUUCCAUUUGGGGAAGGAAAAGGAAAUGGCUAAGAAUGUUACCAAAAGAAGUGGGGUGGCUUUCAUAUGCGUGGUGGCAUACUUGCAUACAAACUUUUCAAUUGUGUUCUGCAUGCCACUCGGGUCAAUUUCAUUUCUUUUACUCCUAGUAGCCUAAUUGGAUUUCCUUUUUCUCAUGAGACAUCAAAUAAAUUUCAUUUUUUUAUAUUUAAAUAGUUAGGUAAGUUUGAUAGUGAGUUAUAUUUUAUACAUUAAUUCAUCUUUUAGAAUGUUGUCUACAAUAUAAACAGUGUAAUUAAUUUCAUCAUUACAGAACAGUCAUCUUAUAAAAUAACAUAAAAAUUAUUGGAUCACUUGUAUGGCACCACUGAUUUGGACUUGGUAUGGCUCUGUUUGGCUUCAUAGAAAAAAUUUGGACCCAAUUUGAAUGUCUUGCAUAAAAAGAGAUACGUCCCACUUUGAAUGAUAUUGAAGAAAAAAAUUUCUGAUGAAGAAUAUAUUGUUGGCAGGGUCAUGCAGGCCAAUAGGGAAACGAUAAAUUCAGAAGAAUGAGUCCAAACCAGUGGGCUUGAAAAUUAAGAAGAGAAUUGCUGUAUAAAACAAUCAUUUCUUAAUCGAGUUCACUUUCUGAAUAAUCGUCACUUUGAGAAUGCAUACUUAGGAAGAUGAUGAUCCUUAAUGGGAAUAAUCAAAGGCAUCAAAAAAUUGUUCUGGAACAAUUCUUGAUUGUCUCCAGUAAAAUUCAAAGUCAAAAGUCAAAAGUCCAGUCGGUCAACACCAAACCAGGCCAGUCCAAAAGACAUUAAUUUGCAAUCUAGAAUCUAUGAUGAGGUGGCGAAAUCAAACCUUGGCUUUUCACCAGGGAAUGGUACUCUGAAUUUGGUCAGUUCACUGUUUCGAGUGAAUAGGGUGUAGUAAUUAGUAAAUCAUAUUUUAGAUUUGUGUCACAAGUUACAAGGGAUAUGGGCUGACGUUCAAUUUUGGCGACAAUUUGUGGGCCCGUAUAUUUGUUGAGAUGUGGAAAUUGGGUGUGUGCUUUUUUCUGCUACCACAUAAAUAUAUUUCUUUGAAUUGAAGAGUGUUUCAGACCAUUUUUUUUCAAGUCACAAAUGGACAACUGAUUGAGAUUGUAUUGGUGAGAGUAGGAGUUUAUUUUGGGCUGGUUGAGCGAAGUUGAAAGUCGAGUUGGACCUAACCCUUGAAUUCAGCAGACUACAGUCCGAUCCUGUAUUUUGGAUUUAGGGAACCUUCUUUCCCAGAAGCUUCGUCUGGGUUUUAAAGUCUAAAUGUGGCUACUCUUAAACAUUGGAGAAAGGAUGAGCGUUCACAAGCAAAUGGGUAAUUGUGGAUGGUUCAAGGACCUGGCCAGCUGGUCUUCAAGUUUGGAUGCCGGUUUGGGCCUGAGAGAGUCUUUGCAAAGUGACUUCACUUCAGCCUAUGAGAUCAAGAUAUCAUGGUGAUGUCCGAUCACUUAGGUUUCAUUUUCACCUCGGAUUACCGUUACCAUGUUCAUGAAUAAAAAUAAAUAAAUAAAUGAAGCCUUAUAGAGAAAUUAAUGAAGUGAGCUAUACAAGCAACUGGGCCAGGAGCCUACAAGGCAGAAAUUCCCUGCCCUAGACUAGGCCGAAUAAAUUAGAUGAAUGAAUUGGGGAAACCUGGGCCAGCCACACAUCCUCCUGAAGGCUGAUGUCGAACUCGCUUACGAGGAAUGGACAUGGGAGAUUGGGCUGGGACCAAAUAACCAAUUGACAGCCCUAUCCUUGUGGCAAGACGUCAGUAAAAUGGUUCAUUCUGAUUUUACGCUGCCAUUCAAUUUAAUUUUAAUUUUUGUUUAAAGCGAUGUACAAAUUGAAUGGUGUCUAGUCACUUAAAGAGUGGUUCAUAAUACACUUAAUUUAAACAAAAAAGAAAUUAUUAGAUAGGGGAUUCUCCAAUAAAAACCACCCCAUCUUGUCAGCAAGUCCGGAAACUUCCUUCACUUAGGGCGUAUUUGUUUUUUUAACUUUAAUAUUAAAGAAAGUUGGUUAAACCUUAUGACACUUUUAUAUUAUUUUAUGAAUUUUUUUUAAUUUUUAUUUUAAUGGAAUUUUAACUUUAAUACAAGUUGGAGUAAUUCUUAUCUUAAAAACAAAUCAAAAUUACUUUAAUUUUAUAUAGAAAUAAACUUACAGUAAAUUUACCAUGAAAAUUUCUAAGUCAAAUACACCAUAAGUGCUAGUAUUUUAUAAUAUUUAGAAACAUGUUAAAUUAUUAUUAUUAUUUUUUAAAAUUAUUAGUUUUCAUAUUAGUUUUAGGGAAACUUGUGCUUUAGGUCUUUUAUUUGCAAAUAAUAUGGUUUUCAAAUCCUAAGAAUAGAAAAUAUGAGAAUCAACUGUUAAUGUGGAAAAUAAUAUCAAUUUUGUGCAAUCUCUAUUGACUCAUUUUUUUGUGCCUAGAUUGCCUUCACCCACUUCCAUGUCAACAACCACAUUAAUAGAUUGUUUUUUUUUUAUAAAACAAAUAAUUAUUAUGUUUAAAAUUUUGGGGAAACUCUCUAUCUCUCUUACUUCUUCACUACAUCCGAGACCCAUCUUCCUUAAACGUUUGCCUCUCAUUUUGCCCUAACCCCAAAUCUCAUAAAUUUCUCAUUUUCUUGCCUCAUUUGAAAUAUGAAGAUGACCGAUUCUCAAACAUCUCUGUCUCUCUCUUCACGUUUUGACCAGUCUAAUUGGAAACCCAUUUUCCAAAAACCUUCUUUCUUUCAUUUUGCCCUAACCCCACUAUCUCCCUCUUCAAGACCUAAUCACCCAAACUCGAUAUCUAUCUUCCCAAAACCUUCAAGCAAACUGAACUAGACCCAUAUCUUCUUUUUUCAUCAUCAAAGGUGAAAUUUUUUUAAGGCUUUUGGAAACCGAAUUGGAGCUUUCCCUUCUUCUGGGAUUAAUCAUUCGCAAGUGAGUUUUCCAUUUAAGGCUUUGUUUGGCUGUUGAAAUCUUGGGAUCAAAGGUCUUUUAUUUUCAGGUUUCUUGUAUUUUGCUUUAUUUUCUUGUAUAUAACAAUAAUCAUUGUAACAUAUGCUAGUAGUUACCCUUGGUGCAACUUUACAUUUCCAAAUACCCUAAAGUCCAAAGCUUUUAAUUCCCUUUUCAAAGCUUUCAACUUUGAAAGCAGACUAAACCAUAAGAACUAUGAAACUUAUAUCUCUAUCACCACUAAUUAAGCAUGUCUAUGAAUCCUUCCACUUUAAGUCACUUAUUCUCAAACCAAGAAGGGCUCCUCUCAUUCUCACCCCACCUCAUCUAAAUGAGGGAAAUGAUCAAUUGCAGCCAUGCUUUGCACCAAAUUAGAGAAGUGAUCCUCCCAAUCAUCCAUUACCAAAAAUUGAUCAUGCUGAUGAGAUCAUAAGAGUCUAUUCGGAACUCCCAGUUUACUUGCCUCUUAUCUCAGGAUCCUCCAUUACCCCCUGUCUUUCCAACAUCAAAUCAACUUGCAAACAAUUCCUUUGUAGAUAAAAUGUUUUUAAUAUUGCAAAAGGGGACUUAUCAUAAUGGUUGAAUCGAUUUAUUUGAUAUAAUCACUCAAAUUCAAGCUUAAAAUUGAUCAUAAUAAAAUGUUUUUAAUAUUGUUAAAAGGAGAUUAUAAUGGUUUUAUUUGAUAUCAUUACUAAAAUUCAAGCUUUCAAACAUGCUCUACAAAGAAGUUCUAAAAGACUACAAGAAAGAGUUUCCACUAAAGAAAAACAAUGAAACCAUUUCUACUAAAGACAAACAAUGAAACCACAGAUGCUUUGUGAAAUAUGUACCCGCACAAUCCAACAAACUUUAGAAAUUCACAAACACUACCUAGAAUUUUUGCUGACCAGCAAAAAAUUUAUGCAAUUUAAUUCUUAUUGUUAUUAUUAUUUUCAAUGUGAACAAAUAUGAUUGAAUUAUGAAGUAUUUGGCCAGAAGAGGAUCUUGCCUAAUUAUAGUCAUUAAACAACCAUUUAUACCAUAGCCUCUAGACUUUAAAAAGUUUAUAAAACUCAAGGGCUUCCACCCAAUUUCUAGAUAUCUCCAUAACAUUCUUCUGACUAUUAGAAAGCAAUUACCACUUUAAUUUUUCAUUUCAUGAGUGUUCAAUUCAGAAAAAGACCAGGAUCGAACUUGCGAUCAUGCAGUCGAAAAUCCACCUGUGCAUGAAACUAUUGCCUCACGAUUGCAAACUCAAGUUGGAGUCCAGUAACAACUCUAGGUUUGCUGAUGUGCUCCAUUUGAAAUAAAGGAACUAAAGAAUACUUUAUAAAGAUUAAUUACCUUCAUAUUUUAGGUUGGGGUUAAGGCAAAAUGUGAUAGAUUGAGAGGAAGAAAAUAUAUCUUGUUCAGGAAGCCAAUAUUUUGGAGUUCACCUUUCCAUUCGAGUCCACUCUGCUAUAGCAAAAUCAGAGUCACAACUAUGCCUCUUUAAGCUAUCCUUUAAUUGGAUGAAUUGCAGAUUUGGUUGCUGAGAAAGUGGAUAAGAAAGAAAAAUGCAUACUGUAGCUUGAGAUUAAGAGUUUGUUUUCUAAAAUGAGAGAAAGGGAAAGAGAAAAAAUGCAUAUUGUAGCUUGAGAUUAAGGGUUUGUUUUCUAAAAUGAGAGAAAGGGGAAGAGAAAUGUUCGACAACUUUGAGAUGACAAAUUUUUAGAUUUGGAAAAUUUGAGAUGAGUCUCAGGUUUUUUUUUUUUUUUUUUUGUCUUUGUCUUUGUUUUUUUUUUUUUUUUUUGUUUUUUUCCCAAAAACAACCUGUUAAUGUGGUUGUUGACAUAGAAGUGGGUGAGGGCAAAAUGGGCAUAGAAAAAAGAGUCAACACAAAGUGCACAAAACCCAUAUUAUUUUCCACAUUAAUGACUGAUUCUCAUAUUUCUUGUUCUUGGGAUUUGAAAACCAUAUUAUUUGCAAAUGGACCUCCCAAAGCACAGGUUUCCCUUAGUUUUAUGUCUCCAUCUACAUUUUACAUAUAAAUAGAUUAUUUUAUAAAAUUUGUUUUGUAGAUAUAUUAGUUAAUAAUUAUAUAAUUAAUGAUAUAGAAAACAUAUAAAAAUCAUAUUUAAAAAAGAUAAUUACAUAUUCCUCAACAAUCCAUCCCAAGAAUUCGAGGUUGAGUUGAAAACAUGUAGAGUCUUUGAUGUUAUUAUAAUCAUAUCCAACACAUAUGAUUAUUGUUUAUGAGAUAUUAUUAGAAAGUUUGUCUUAAAAUAAUUGAUUUAUUACCCACCUUUAGCAAAUGCCCAUUUUUGCGUCUUUCAAAAUUUUCAUUUUUUUUUUGUUUAAAAGAAGUAUUGUAAAGAAUGAUGAAAUAAGAAAUUUGUUGAGAAAGUGUGAGUAAAUAAUUUUACAUAAAAAGAGAUUUAAUACUUGAUAAAUAAAAUAAUAAAAUCAUGAUUUCUAGUUGUAUAGGGCCGGGUGGAUGGAGUGGCUAAGAUGUAAUUCUUGAAAUAGAGGAGACAACAUCAAUGUAUAAAAGUUUAACAGAGAAGGAAAGUGUGUUUGAAUGACUUUAUUUUCUUCAUUUAAAGUUUUGACGAUGAGUGUUUAUACAAGAUAAAUUUUCAAAUGAUAGGACUCCUAUUUACAUGGAGUUUGUGAUAUACUAUGAUUAUACAAAUUUAAAAUUCAAACAGAUUCAUGAGUUGAUAGGAGUCUGCUCAAUACGCCCCUUCAAAAUGGUGGGAGAUAGCACACCAAUCUUGACUCGAAGGGCCUAAACUCGUGCAGAAGAUGAGGGCUUUGUUAGAGCAUCGACAAGUUGAUCCGUGGUUGACAUAUGGGACACCUUGAGCUCACCUGAUUAAACCUUGUUUCAAACAAAAUGAAAAUCAAUCGCCGAUGUGUUUCAUGGAGAGUGAAACAUGGGAUUUGCACAAAGAUAUGUUGCACCCACGUUAUCACAAGAGAUAGGAGGUGGUGAUAAAUUUGAAACACUAAGUUUUGAGAGAAGAGAAUUAACCCAAAGAACCUUUGAGGCUGUAGAGGCCACGACGUGAUAUUUCGCUUCAGUGGAAGAGCGUGCUAUGAACUUUUGUUUCCUCGAUGACCAAUACACAAGAUUGUGACCAAGAAAAACAAUGGGAGCAUUGGUGGAGGAUCUGACAUAAGGAUUCCUUGCCCAUUCAACAUUCGAAUAUGCAUGUAGAUUGAUGGGCGAUUUCUUAUGCAAGAACAGACCAUGCACCAUUGUGCCGACUAAGUAUCUAAGCAAUCUUUUAACACAAGACCAAUGUGUUGAUGUUGGAUGGUGCAUAAAUUGAGAUAAUUUAUUCAUCAAGAAGGUGAUGUCAGGGCUAGUAAGAGAGAAGUAUUGAAGGCUUCCAACAAUUGACAUAUAUUUAGUGGGACCAGGAAAAGAGGUGUCAUCACACAGAUUUGGAACAUUGUUGAGGAACAUCAAUGAUUGAACUGGUUUGGUAGCCACCAUUUGUGUUUUCUUAAGAAGCUCUCGAAUGUACUUGAGAUAAAAAUAAUCCUUUGGAAGUAUGUAUCAUUUCAACACCAAGAAUAAAAGAUGAAGUCCUGAGAUCCUUAAUGGAGAAUUUGACUGCUAAUUGAGAGAUCACGCGAGCACGAAAAACAUUAUUGUUACUUGUUAAAAUAAGAUCAUCAAUAUAAAUAAGUAGGUAAACAAUGAGACCACUCUUUUUAAAAAUGAAGAGGGAUGUCUCGGUUUAGGAGUUGACGAAGGCUAUUGAGAGGAGAAAUUGGCAAAGUUCAUGAUACCAUGAUCGUGGAGCUUGUUUAAAGCCAUAAAAAGCCUUACAAAGUUGGCAAAUGUGAUGAUGUGUGUAUUCGUGAACCCAGGAGGUUGAAUCAUGUAAACAUCUUCAUGAAGUGUCCUAUGCUAGAAUGCAUUAUUAAUGUCCAAUUCAUGAGUUGAUAGGAGUCUGCUCAAUACAAUGUGGGAGUGUGAUUUCAAAAUUAGGGUAAUUUCGAAAUGGAUUUUGUAUUCACAAGUUGAAUUUCAAAAUUAUUUUGAAAUGGUCUUUUAACUUUAAGCAGUUGUGUUCAAAAGGUCAUAACUUCUUCGUUUCAAUUUUGAUUUACACAUUGUUUAAAACAUUGGACUCUUUACUUCCCGAGCUUCAAAACGAUAUAUAGUAUGCUCAAAAAUGACAUCAGGAUUGGUUCAAAUUUCAUCUUGAUAUUAGAGUACAUGUUGUGAUUAGAUUUUGAGUUCCAAAUUUCCAUGUAAACUUGAUUGCAUUUGCUUCAAACCUCCUUCAUUAUGGUUGCUUGCCCUCUAUCUCACUUUGCAACAUUUGUUACUAGUAUUUUAUGUCCAUGACUUACUCAUUUCAACCUUUCUUGGAUUCUUCAUGGUUCACAAAUUAUGGAUUCUUCAUGGUUCACAAAUUGAGUCUUUCAAUUAUGCAUGUUUAACUCCUAUUUCCUUGGUUGAUAAUGACUUUUACACUUAUCAUUUUCUUUUAUUCUUUAAACCUGAAUUUAGACUUACAAAAAAAAGUUAGAUCCAUAACUAGGGUCUUAGCAUCAAUUUGAGUUAAGUUGGAUGAUUUGAAAAUUUUAUAUUACAUAAAUCAUAUCAUACAUGUGCCAUUGGAGUGCACAUUUUGGCUCUAAUCAUGUUCCAACCCAUUGUUUUACUCUUGCAUGAAGUAUGUGGCCAUUGAUUUUAAUUUUAUUUGCGAUUAGGUUCAAAAUGGUGCUUUUGUGUUGCUCAUGUGUCAUCAGAAGAUCAACUAAUGGAUUCUCUAACAAAACUACUACAUCAUAGUCAUUUUUUUUUUUCUUAAGACCAAGAUUGAGAUCUCCAAUCGGAGCCAACUCCAUCUUGGGGGCAUGUUAGUGAAAGAUAAAAUUUAUCUUUAAUUUAAAUAUUAAUAUUUAUCAGUUAUUAGUUUUAAUUAGAGUAAAAGAUAGAGUUUAAAUUGGAGUAGGAGAUAAACUUGUGUUUGAACUAGAAUAGAAGAUAAAGUAUAAAGAUUUAUGUUUGAAUUAGAAUAAAAUAUAAAGUUUGAAUUAGAGUAGAAGAUAAACUUGUUCUUUAUUUGUAUAUAAAUAUUCAUCAAUUCUUGAGAAGAAGAUUAUUUCAUAGUUUUUCUAUCUUCUUUUUUCUUCAUACAUAUCUGCAAGAAAUUGAAGAUUUCAAGUAAAAUAUUUUCUGUUUUAAAUAGUGAAAAAAGCUAGAAAUUCACUUUGUUAUCUCUUGGGGUAAAUUGACAAGGUUUAACGUUAAGAAGGUGAAUUAUUUUUUCAGAAAAACUGAAGUAGCUAGGAUAUCUGGCCAGUUGUGAUCGAUAAAAAAGUUGUAAAAUCUCUCAUAUACUAAACAGGUUUUGGAUGUUGGUAUGGUAAAUCCAUCUGCAGUCAUUCGUCAUCUCAUCUAGUGAGAUGUUUGGGAGGUGGUGACCGCCGGAUUGGGUUUCAUUUGGUUAAAUCUGUCAGUGGGUUGGCUACUACCCGAGCCUCUUGCUUUGGGGGAGGUGGGUUCUAGAUAUAAUGUUCAAACCAUUUUAGUUAUCAUAUGCAUGACAUGUAAGCAUAAUCUCUUUAUCACUUCUUCAAUGGGAGUUCAUGGUUAGGAAUUGACUUCUUUUCUUCUGGGAUGCUUGGCAUGUAAUGGACAAAGUUACUUUUAUAUCGAUCGAAUUUCUAGUAUUAUAGUGAAGACUUACCCUUUUGACAUUUUAUAUCGAAUUAUAGAAGAUGAAAGGGACAUACAUGCAAUCGACUGACGCUUUAGUGAAUAUGCUGAAAAUAUGCUGAUGCUGUGGAGAUCGUAUGAGGACAGAGGAAAAAGAUAGAAAUGGAUAUAUAAUUAGACCUAGGUUUUUAUUAAAUGAGAUGGGGAACAUAGAGUGAGGGAAAAUCAAAAUUUUUGGCUGCAGUUCACAUUGGUGAUAUUUUGGAUUGACAAAGACUAACGACUUUUCUAUUUUUCUUUUCGGCCUGACUGGAUAGUUGGACAUGGACAAUACAGAAUCCACAGAAGGAUUGUUGGGACCGCUGAAAAUUAGCUAGAAGAAGCUGAGGAAGUAGUCUACGUAGUCAAAUACCAAACACAAAGAAAGAAAGAAAUGGAUAUCAUGGAUGCCUAGAGUUAUACUCCUAAUACCGUCACAGGUAUUUUUCUUUCCUCCUUUUUUUUUCUACGAUAAUUAGAGCAUUUCUCCUCCUCCUCCUCCUCCUCCCCCCACCCCACCACCAAAAAAUAAAAAAAUAAAUUAUUGCAAGUAACACUUCAAAUAUUAAUUUAUACAUUCUAAAGUAUAUAUUCAUGAAAUAACUUGAGUAUCAUACAUUAGUUCUCAAAAAAAAAAAAAAAAAAAAAAAAAAAUUACUGGAAGAGAAAAGUUUAAGAAAACAUAAAAAUAUUCAACUACUAUUUUAAAGAGAAAAUUUAAUUUUUACACUAUAAAUUUGAAGAGAACUUUUACAUGCAUCUUAUAUAAACUACCAUUUUUUGCUAAAAGGCUUAAAUUUGUCAAAAAUACCCCUUAGGUGCUUAACGUUCUGGUCAUAAUAUAAUUGGCAUCUUUUCUCAAACAUAAGGCCUGUGUGUGGGAACAAGAUUUAAUGUUAAUGAGCUUCGCCACCGACAUUUAGUUCCAGAAAUCAUUAUUUUAAUAGAGUGGGCUCAAUUUACAACUUUAAUUAAACUCUAACCAACUGCAUUGUGAAAUGAAUAUGUUUCUUUCGUGGUGAAUCCAAUGAGUUGGGAGUCAAACUUUGCUUCAUUGUGUAUAGAUGAAAUGUUAAGACUCCAUGUAACCUCAAACAUUUCCGCAAUNNNNNNNNNNNNNNNNNNNNNNNNNNNNNNNNNNNNNNNNNNNNNNNNNNNNNNNNNNNNNNNNNNNNNNNNNNNNNNNNNNNNNNNNNNNNNNNNNNNNUUCUUUCGUGGUGAAUCCAAUGAGUUGGAGUCAAACUUGCUUCAUUGUGUAUAGAUGAAAUGUUAAGACUCCAUGUAACUCAAACAUUUCCGCAAUGAGCGGGAGUUCUAAAUUUAAUAAUUGAAAUUGUCAGUGGAACCAGUGGACAAGAGUUGGUUUGUGGUUGACAAACUUAUCCGUUUGAUCUUUACUUGAACAGUUCCAGUGUGUGGAUGGGUACUGAUGAAGUGUGCGCAUUUAUUUUGAGAAGCCUGCUUGUUCGCAUAGAUUUUAACGACAUGAACAUUGUGGUAAGGUUAGAGAGUAAUGCGAAUGUAGGAGCUUAUAUUAGAAAUGACACAAACACGUAAAUAGAAGUAAUCUAUAUAUGAUAUUACUCAUGGACUACAAGCAAAGAAGUACAAUACAUGGAGUAAGUGAUGAAAUGAGCAUUCCUCACUACUACUGCUUGACUGAUGGAACAUGAUGCACGAGAUAGCAUAAGUAGUAGUAGGAAGCAGCUCUUAUUUGUGGCGUCGGUAUACAUCAUACUAGGUAGAUGGUUCAAUUGGCAUGGAUGGGUGGUGGAGCCUUGAAGUGCUUGUGAUGGGGAGCCCACGGCUUCUUCUCAGGAGUUGGUGGCUUCUUGUAUGGAGUUGAUGGAGGUGUUUCUACUGGAGGGUGGCCAGGGUAGUGACCCUGGGGUGGUGAAGGUUCUUUUGUCGGUGGUGGCCUCACUAUUAUUGGCGGUAGAGUUGGUGGCUUGGGCGUUGGCGGUGGUCUCACUACUCUUGGGGGUAGAGUUGGUGUCUUGUGUUUUGGUGGUGGAGGUGGCUUAACAGGAGUUGGUGGCUUGUAUUCUGGGGGUGGUUUCUCCACCGGAGGUGGCUUAUAAACUGGAGUUGGUGGCUUGUAUUCUGGGGGUGGCUUCUCCACUGGUGGUGGCCUGUAAACAGGGGUUGGUGGCUUAUAUUCUGGGGGAGGCUUCUCCACUGGAGGCGACUUAUAAACAGGGGUUGGUGGCUUGUAUUCCGGGGGUGGCUUCUCUACGGGAGGUGGCCUGUAAACAGGGGUUGGUGGCUUCUCCACCGGAGGUGGCUUAUAAACGGGGGUUGGUGGCUUGUAUUCUGGGGGUGGUUUCCCCAGUGGUGGAGACUUGUAAACAGGAAGAGGUGGUUUGUGCUCAUAUGGGGGUGGCUUGUGGUCAUUAGCAAGUGAGGGAGUGGUGAGGACCACCAAUCCAAGGAACAACACGAGUGAGCAAGCAGAAGACAUGUUUGGGCUCUGGUGAUGCACAAGUAGAAGAAAUGGGAACCAUUUAUAAUGCUUCGAGACCUUGGUUAGCACCAAAAUAUGUCAAAAUCUUGAUUACUUCAUUUCAUACAUAGAUUUAAAAUUAUUUCAAUCAACCAUGAUCCUUAAUUUUCUGG
rnacentral:lncRNA from 1 species